UUACAGGGGUCUAAAUAUAAAAGUUAUUUUUUGUCAUCAUAAAUAUCAUAUUGAAAUGUAAAAUAACAAAUUAUUAACAUAAAGUAAUAUUUUUUGAGUUUUUACAGAUCAAAAUUCAAUGUCUGAAUAUCAAUCAAGCACCAAAGUUAAGAUUAAAUGAAUUUAUUUGUUUCAAUAUCAAAUUAAAAAAAAAAAAGUAUCCAAAAUAUCAUAUCAAAAGAAAAAGAAUCUCCCAAAUGUUAUCUAAGGGGGGUUCAAAUAUAGUAUAAUUGUAAUUGUUAAGGUAAUUUAGUUAGCUAACGAAAGAUUUAUGCAAAAGCUGGCAGGGGUCUAAACCCUCCCAGACCCAAACACAAUUCUGCCACUGGUAGGCUCAGUGCUCAGAUCCAUGAGGCAAGCAUUAUGCAGAAAGCAUAAAAGAGAAAGAACCAAGUAAUGAGGGUGUGAAAGUACCAUGAUGAUUAACAUAUUGCUAAUUAGAAACGUGAACUCUCAAUUGUCAUACUCCUGCUUGAACAAGUAAACUUUUCAAGAGUUGCAAGUAAAAGCUCGGUAGGAUGUUCAUCUAAUCCGAAUACACAAAAUGAGUUUGAAAACAGUGGAACCUUUUUCUGCUUGCCAUGAAAUACCAAACAAAGCAAUUAAGCAACAAGCAAUUAGUGCAAGUGGGUGACGGAGAGGGAGUGGGAGUGGGAGGAGAGGAGGAAGUGGGAGGAGAGGAGGGAGUGGGAGUGGAAGUGGAAGAGGGAGUUGAAGAGGGAGUUGAUGAAGAUGGUGAUGGUGAUGGUGAUGGUGAUGGUGAAGGUGAAGGUGAUGGUGACGGUGAUGGUGACGACGAUGACGAUGACGAUGCAGAAUUAUUCAAAACAUUGAGGCGUUUGGAAAAGAACUAUGUUUUUGAGUUACAAUGGUCGACAUUGGAGGAUCAUAGAGAAUUAGUUGGUUUGGAACUUGGGUUUUCAAGGGAUUAGUUAAUUGUUCAUUGGUUUAGUUUUGGCUAUAGAAAAUUUCAUAGAAGUCACUUUCUUAACAUUUUUUUUUACAUAAGUCCACCUUAAUAUUUUUAUCCAUAUAAGUCCACUUUAUGACCAAAAUUCAUCAGUUUACUUUUAUAUUAUGCCUAAACUACCCUCUUCUUCGUAUUAACCCAAAUCCAUCUACUCUCUCUCUCUCUCNNNNNNNNNNNNNNNNNNNNCUCUCUCUCUCUCUCUCCUCCUCUCUCUCUCUCUCUCUGAUGACAACGCCGGCUCAACCUCGACUGUGCUCCCUCCGACGACGACGUCAGCUCGACCUUAACUAGAUCUCUGAUUCGGUCGACGACGUCCUCGACUGGAUCUCUGAUUCUAUCGACGACGACCUCGGCUAAAUCUCUGAUUCCGACGACAACAUCUUGCUCGACCUCGGCUGCAUCUCCAAUUUGGUGAAGGAUGACCAGGACUAGAUCUCUGAUUCCGUCGAUGACGACCUCGACUAGAUCUUUGAUUCCAACAAAGGCCUCUUGUUUGACCUCUACUGCAUCUCCGAAAUCUUCAACGCCUAAGCUCUAAGCCACAUCGUCUACUCCCGCGCCGCCGAUGUGCUCUACCGGUAAAAUUCACAAUCUCACUAUUAUAUGCUUCGAAUUAAACCGGCUUCAAGUUUUUUAUUGUAGCAUAAUUGGAGAUUGUUACUUCGUUUGUAGGCUUACCUAUUCAAUCUCAGUGACUCUGCUUUGAUCUAUCUAGUUUUACAAUAAUUUGGUAGUCUAUAAGUUUGAGUAGACAAUGCAAGAUCUAUAUGUGUGGCACUGCUUUGAUCUAUUCUUAUAUACCAUUUCACCUGGCAUAUAGUAUCUUUUCAACGUAGUCAUAGUAUCUUUCUUUGUCUAGGUCAGUAUAUUUUCAACAUGAUAUUAGUAGCUUUCUUAUCUUAUUGAAUGUUAGUAUAUUUUCAACAUAGUGAUAGUAUCUUUUUAUGUUUAUAUUAGUAUCUUUUCGACAAUGUGGUAGUAUCUUUCUAUGUUUGUGAUAAUAUUUUUUCAUCAUGAUUUCAGUAGCUUUCUUAUUGUGUGGUAGUAUAUUUUCAACAAAAGAGUAGUAUCUUUUCAAUGUGAUGUCAAUAGCUUCUAUUUUGAUUUCAAAUAUUAAUAUUUUGUUGUAUCUCUGUUCUUGCAGAAUUCUUCCCUUUGCAUUUGUAGUAAUAGAUUUCAAAAAUCAUGUGAAUUUGGAUAUUGAAGCCUCCAUAGAGAUCAUUGGGCCAACCAAGAAAAUCACGCUCAAGGUGGAAAAAUUAUGCCUUUGAGUUAUGAGCAUCACCAUUAAAAACCGAUAGUAGCUUUAUACAACUAUUUUAGUAGACUUCCGCAACUACAUCAAUAGCUUUAUGUAACUAUGGAAGUAGCUUUAUACAUAAUUAUCAUUGUACAAAGCUUCAAACUUUUUGUACCAUUGAAUUUGUUAGUAGUGAAUUUUAUUAUGCAUGGUAGUAGCUUUUCUUUAUGGCAGUAGUAUAUUUUGUUGCCGGAUAUAGUAUCUUUUGUUGUUGGCGGUAGUGUCUUUUGUUGUUGGCGGUAGUAGUUUUUGUUGUUGGCAGUAAUAGCUUUUGUUGCUGACGGUAGUAUUUUUUGUUGUUGGUGAAGUAGCUUUCGUUGUUGGUGCUAGUAGCUUUUGUUGCUGGUAGUAUUAUUUUUUGUUGCUGGUGGUAGUAUAUUUCGUUGAUAACGGUAGUAUAUUUUGUUGUCAAUGGUAGUAGCUUUCUUUGCUGGAGGUAGUAGCUUUUGUUGCUAGCGGUAAUAUCUUUUGUUGUAAGUGGUAGUAGCUUUAUUUGCUGGUGCAGUAACUUUUGUUCCUGUCUGUAGUAGCUUUCUAUGUUGGCUGUAGUAGCUUUUUUUACUGGCCAUAAUAACUUUUGUUACUGGCGGUAGUAUCUUUUGUUGUCGGUGAUAGUAGCUUUUGUGGUCGGCAGAAUCCUCACUGAUGGUCGGCCAAAAAAUUCGCCGGAGUCAGGCCGGAAAGUUUGUCGGAGGUCGGCCGGAGAUAUCGCCGGAGGUCGGCCAAAGACUUUUUGUGGUUGUUGACUUUUUACAUUAGUGGCAGUUUUGUAAAUAUAAGAGAGAAAAUCUAAUUUUUUGGUUGGAUGGCAAUCUGUAAUUUUGUUGAACUUCAAUACCAAAUAUAAAACACUAUUUAGGCUUGGGUGGACUUAUGUGGGUAAAAAUGUUUGGGUUGACCUAUAUAGGAGAAAAUGUCUUAAAGUGGACUUCUAUGUACUUGGCCCUUUUGGCUAUUACUUGGGAGAAUUAAUUUGGAACUUUCUUUUGUAAUUCAGUUUAUUUUAUUUUUAGUUAAGUCAAGAAUUACAAAGGUUAAUUUCCUGUCAUUGCACAAAAAAAAAUUCCGGCUUUUAUAUAUAACAAAGUGGAUUACAUGCCUGCAUGUUUCAUUCAUGUCUAUAUUUUCUGGUGCAGUAUGUUCUUUUUUCUUCUUCUUUUUUUGAGGUAAAACUUUAUCAAAUAACAACCAACAAUUACAAUCAUGGGAGAUCCGAGGUUGGACAACAAGUCAUCACACUCAUUCCUUCCCACAUACUAAUAAUUAUAAUGAACAUGAACCGAAAAGGGUCCAAAUGUAACUUACUCCUAACCCAUCUAGAAGCUUUGAUACCUCAUUUCAACCAACCUCAAUAAAAAACAACCUCAUCAAGCAUUAUAUACUAAAACUGUCAGCAUAUAUGCAGGGGUAACCUCCUAUUACAUUUACAUAUAUUGACAACAAGAAAAUUCCGAUGUUAAAAAUAAUAGUCACUAGACUUGACACCAAACAUGGCUCUACCAAAACCACCAACGACUCCAAACAACCAACACCCUUUCGGGUGAGGACGGAAAAAAAAAACCCAACACCAAACCAAAAUGCCUAAAAAACAAAAAAAACUAAAACUAAGCCCGUAGUGAACCUAGGCCCAAAACAAACACAUUGGACCUCAAAGAUUAGCCACUAAAAAUCUGGCCUAAAUAUUGGUUUGGAGACAAACUAAAUAUUGCAACUUCGAAAGUAUGAAAUCCGUUUUCAUCAUUUCAUGCCUACCAAUAAUUGUUGGAUCAAUUCGUUCUUAAAGAGUAUGAAAUCCUACCAAAUAUAUUGGUAAUGGCUAAAGCCGUUACACUCAAAUUAACCUAUCAACUCAUUCAAUGAUGAGCCCCUAAUUGAACGAACUGGGAAAAUAAUAUUAUCUGAGACGAACUACAAAUUGCAAGACAAAAGCCCUGACUGUAGAUAUAAUAAAAGGUCUUACCGUCUUACACAAUUCUAUUAACAAUUGGUUUAAUUUGCAUAUAUAUAUUGAAAGCUAAUGAAGAGCUAAAUUGGUUGUCUACGGUGAGAUGUAUACCAUAUUCUCAUCCAUAACUUCUUGAACAAGAAUUACAAUAUAUUUGAACAAUAUUUAGGGAGAAAUAAAAUUUCUCCAUAUUUACAACAUUAACUGAUAAAGGAUAUUAGUUACUGUGUCCAUCCACAAAAAAUGCCAGCAUAUACACAUCAAAUGUUUUACACAGCAGCAGCAUCAACAAAGUUUAGUUUAAAUUAAGAAAUGGGGUUUUGUGGCUCAUCAGUCAACCGGAGAUGGGCAUUUUCCAAUCCGAUCUAAGCAGCCUUUCGUCCGGCAACAUUAGCGGAGCCAACUAAGGACGAGUGGGGGCCUGUAGCCUCAGUAUAAUUUGGACAAGUGGUCGGUUUGAUGUGUUUGUGCCCCCACAAGAGUAGAUAUAUUGCUUUCAACAACAAAAAGAAGUGGUAAAGUCUUAUCAUUGUUCCCUUACAACCUUACGAUUUGGAUUUUUUAACCUAAAGUCAAAGAAUUUCUGAUGUGUUGACACAUCAAAAGCCACAAUAGUUAUUUUAUGUUUGAUUUUUUUUUUUGCCCCCCGUAGGUAAAUCUGUUCUCCCUCCGCCACACCCGACAAGAAUCCCUUCCCUCUCAACCGUAUAACGAAGCUACGUCUGUACAUAUUUUUAGAUCUGAAAGGGUACAUGCACAAUCAAUUGCAAGCAUCGCUAACCAGCCAAACGUUUUAAGCCUAUACCAAAGGGUACCAUGCAUGAACAUUAUACAUGCAAUACACCAACGUCCUUGCAUGGGUUCCUCAUUCCAUGAUUCCAUCCCUUAGAAACUUUGAUUCACUCAACGCCCAAUAUAUAUCAAAUUCAAUACACUCUUCCAUAAGCAAGAGGAAGUCUACAGGGCGAUGAACUAUGAUACUAAACUUGUCCAUAGCCGAAGGUUCAUAGUUAAUCAUCCAGUCAUGAACAAAGGUGACAUAUGUUCACUUGGAGUACUUUGACGUUAAAAGUUACGGACAUUUGAGGGUCAUUAGGGAAUGUACGAGUGGGUGCUGUUUGAGAUUGUAGCUUUGUGCAUAUUUCUGCUCUCAUUAGUAAUAGCUCCUGCGAGCCCUCCGUCCUUCGGUUUUCUGGUCGUGUUGGUGGCCGUCCUCAUGUUCAUCCACCACGCCCCAAAGUGACACUGUCACAUUUUGUAUUGUUACCUGGAACAAAAGAGAGAUGUCACAUUAUUAGUCAUCAUUUACGUAAUCCAAAGCAUCUAUGGAAAAAAAAUGUAUCUGGUUAUACCAUAGAAAGGCUUUUUGCCCGGAAUAUAAAAGUUUGCGCAUAUCUUAUACACAACGGCAGCGGAAUCUGUCGAUCCGUCCAUGAUGGUUGGACUCUGACCUCCAAGCUCUUUGGAUGGAUGACUAGGGAGGCCAGAUGAUCGAGUUUAUAUAGAGGGACGUUUAGGUUAGUCUGUUCUUGAUUAGGUAGCAGAUCAUUUUGGGUUAGCUAUGGCUCCGUAACUUCAAUUUUUAACUAACUGCGACUUAAAUAUCAAAAUUAAUUUCUAUUAAACAGAAAGGGACAAUAAAUUGAUAUAAAAUCUGUAUUAAAUAAGAUUAUAUCCAAUUUAGCGGUUUCAAUAAUUUCAAUAAUUACUCACCAGCAAUUGACAAUACUAUUUGGGAUGUAGUAGCAUAGUCUCUCAUAUGUAACUGAUAAGAUAUUAGUUGUAGGGGAGCGAAUUCUACGCACCAAGGUGCACUUGCAUCAUUAAUAUGUAAAUGCUCAAAUCGUCGUAUGUGAAGAUUGAAUAAAGACUAGAGACCCUAAAUUCUUUUUUUUCAUUUUCAUUUUUGAUCCGAGUACAUCUUUUUUAACCUAGUGUUCUCAUUUCCUUAGUUGGAAACACUUGAGAUUAUUUUUUUGGGUUUCAAGUUUGUUAACGGUAUUAGUAUAUAUGCAUGUAGUGCGAUGUAGAUGACCAAAUCAAAAUACUACAUAUUAAUUGAUCGGUUCACUUACAGCUUGGUGCCUAAAAGAAUUUUCGUGGUUGUUGUUGUAAUAUCUGAGUUAGUUGUUUAUCUGAUACAAAUUAAAAACAAUAGAUUGUUUAUAUUUUUAUUUAUAUCUUUAUAUUUAUCUUCCCUAAGUGGAUUACCUUAAACGGCGCAUACAUUGUGUCAGGCUAAGCUGAAAAAGACUACGUCGGAAACUAGUCAAUGAUAACCUUCCAUGGACUCGCCUAUAUAAGCCACAGCUGGGGUUGCAAAAAUAAGAGCUUGAAUACCGCUUGUAAAUAAUCCAAGGAACAUGACAAGUAUAGGAACUACUAAAGGUACUAAAGAAACAUGAACAACUACUACUAAUUCAUCAGUUAAAAUAUUUCUGAAUCUUUGCGCAUCUGGUUUGCUUCACGCCGAUUGAGGCCUCUUCCUAAUUUGAUUUGAUUUAGAAUCCUUGUGUGUGUGUGUGAGAGAGAGAGAGAGAGAGAGAGAGAGAGAGAGGCGCCAUCUUGUUUUGCCGGCAACAGUUCAAAUGGAUUUUCCAUUGAUCAACGACUGAAGACUAUUUAUUUCCCUCCCGGCUCCCCAUCUAGUAAAGGAACAUGAAAGUACAUGUUUGGAGAAUAAUUUGGUUGUUUUACUCUAACAGAUUUUUUAUUUAGUUACUUUAAAAUUUUCAUUAUAAAAAAGCAAAAGUGAAAGUUGUAAAGCAAUUUUUCUACUCCAUGAUUCCAGACAUUCAUGCAAUCAGCUCAACUCUAAGAUACCAUGAAAAAUUCAAGGACUCGAGGACUUCAUCCAAUAAUCCAUUGUUAUAGGAUACCACUUUACAAUAUCAUCAAUCAGAAAGUAGAGGAUAGAGAGUCUUCAUCCAACAAUAACGUAGUAUCUUCAAAUACUGAGUUCCAAGCUGAAUAAACUAGAUAAACAAACUAACAGGCUACAUGAUGAAGAAGACGGAUUUGUUCGUACCAAUGAACAAGUUUUGGUAUAUUUAGACCCCUACAGGCGAUGCUUAAGGAGCUGAUCAGAAAAUAUGUUCAAAAGGUAAAUAUGAUGUACAUAAUUUAAUGAUAUCAAUAUUCAUUUCUUGCCUGCCAACUGUUUGACUAGUUCUUGAAGAGAUUGCUCCUGCCUUACGCCUUGAGCCCACCUCGCCUUGAUUCGGACUUGCUCAAUGCUUUGCUUCAGAGUCAUAGCAAUGGAAGGAUGCACCCGGCAUGCAAAAAAUUCUUCAACCUCAUCAGCCUUUUCAUUGCUACAAAACUUUCAACGGAAGGAAUUUGUCAAUAAAACCAGAUGGUAUACUAAGCAGCAACAAUGUUCUAUGCUUUGUGAAUUGUCAUAAAAGCUCUUGGACCUUUCGACCUUAACUUGAGAAUGUAUCAUAUUCUUAGGCUCAAUUAUCUAGCACUGUAAGGGCAGACGUAAUUCUGCUUACCGGUGUUACAAUGUCUCUCACGAAAUGGGUGAGUGGCAUUCCAGCACCAUAUUUGGUGAGGAUCAGGUCCCAGUUCUCCUGCAUUCAUAACCAGACAAUUUCAUCUCUCCAAAGUCCAGAUUGUAGAAACUAGAAACCAAAAGUACAACUGUAAAAGUGGCUUCCUGAUACUAAUUUCUGAUCAUGUGGUAUUGAAUGAUGUGAUAUUCAUCUGAAACAUAUAUUGAAGAAGUCAUGUGCCCCAUACCUUCAUCCAUUUCCAUGCUGUUUCACGGCAUUCUAAGCUUAUACCACAGAGUCCAUAUAUAAUAUCCUGAUCUCGAACCUGAAAGGAAAAAAAGAAAAAAAAGAAGAUUGAAUGUAGCUGUUAAAGUGGCAAAGAACCUGAAAGUAAACCCCAAGUAGUGUACAGACAGAUACCUCAUCACAUAAGAAAAAGUUCAGAACAUCAACAACUGUAUCUGGGUCUGGAGAAGAUGCAAAAUAACCUGAACAAGGAAAAACAUAAUUCAUAAAUUUAAGUCACGUUAAACUAGACAAGAGACAGAUUAGAAUUGGAAAUGGAAAUGCCAGAGAAUGCAUUGUAGGUCACUGUUACAAAAACUUACGUAGAAUUCGUUCCUUCUCUUGCACUGUACCAGCUUCUCUGUAAACAUUUAACAGAGCCUCAAAGCCUUCCUUGUGUGAGCUGCUAGCAUUCAUCAUCACUGCAAUGUAAGCCGCCUACAGGACAAUAUUUGGAUCUUCUAUCUAUUAACCAUUAAAAUGCUGAAAAGGAUGAAGAGAUGAUAUACAGACAAAGGUUUAAACAAUUACCGCUCUUGUAUCUGCAGUAAGAAGAGGAGUCUUUCUAUCAUUCAAUAAUAUCUGAAAGCGGUCUAAUGCUUCAUUCUGAGUUUUAUCAUGGCCAAAAGUGACCAAGGCCUGCAAUACUUCUGCUCUCAAAAGUGUACUGAAGUGACUCUCUCCGGGUACUGGUUCCCAGCCUAAUGCUCUGUGCAGAUACAGUCAAAGACUCAAACAUGAUGUGUAAAUAUGGUAGAAAAUUUUCGGACACAAUCUUCAUUUAUUUUAAACAAAGAAUGCAGAGCCAUAAUAAAAUGGGGGCGUUCUGCUUACUCUGCUGGAAACAUGAGGAGAUUGAUGAAAAACUGCUUUAACUCAUUCACUGAAUCAGGGAUGGCCUCGCUUGCUACUUUAACGACAUUAUAGCAUACCUAGAGCACAGAUGAAAUAAGAGUUAUGCUGCCAUAAUUAAGAAGUUGGGGUAAGUGUAACUGAUAAUUAAUCACCCAGAGAAAACUUAUACUUCCGUCUAUAAGUUUUGAUAAGACAAUAUAAUCAACUUCCUUUCUGUAUACAUCCAUUAAGCAAAGCAAAGAUGACAGAGACUGUUCACAAGCUUCGCAAAGGGCAUGCGCAUCAUCCAGAAUGCCUGCAAUGAUAGGUGGAGUUAUACUUUUACAUCAUCCUUAUUGAUUUAUCAUAUAUAGUAAAUAUACAGUCAAUAAUUUAAGAAGAGAACCAACACACAAGAACACAGAAUGUUUAACACACUAAAUUCUUGAAAUUGGCCAAUUUCAUAAUAAAGAGAAGAAAUCAAUGUUCGGUGAUUAUCUGAAUGAAUGCAGCAUACCUAGAAUAACACAAUCAUCACUAGUUAAAAUAAAAUUAAUAAGAGGUACAUACCAAAUUUGUCUGUUGCUUCCAAGUUAUUAUGCUCAAUAGCCUUCCUAAGUCGAGCUGCUAGCUUAUCUUCAUACCUUACUCUAUAGAAACCACUCUGCUCGACAUUGACCUUGACCCACAGUUGUUCAUCGCAUAUCUCUUUAUUCGUUAACUUAGUAUGGGAGGAGCUAACAAGAUCUGAUACGUCAACUUCACUGGACUUUGUUUCCAAAAGGAAAUUCUUGCGCCUCUCGUAUGAACCGAAUGAAAUAGUUAUUGGAACAAUCCACUCACCAUCACCGAGCAAACCUGCUGAUAGAAACUGUGCCUGCCAAACCAAAACUGUUUUAGACUUUCACAAAGAAAUGAAAAAUAAGAUUGGUUUAUGUAAUUUUUUUUUUUUUUUUUUUAUUUUUUUUUUGAGAAUUAUGAAUGUCAUCGAUAGUACCUGCUCGAAUUCCAAAAUAUGAUCCUUCACUUUUACAGAGAUCACAGGAUAUCCUUGUUUCUUAGUCCAAUCAUCCAUCAUUUCACUGAUUUUGACACCAGAUUCCUCCGAAAGAACGCUCCAUAAAUCUUCUGUCUUUGCAUUCUUUCCAGAAAAUCUUUUCAUAUAGGAACUUAACAAUUUCUGGUUUGAUAACCAGGUGACAGGGUUAAAGAGAUAAGCAAAAAAAUGCCAAUAGAUUUUCAUUUAUUAAAAAUAUCAAUAGUGCAAACAAGAAUGACUUCAUAACAGGCUGGGUGAUCAGAAGAGCAUUUCCAGAUAAUCUCCACUACGAAAGCAUGAAGUUAUUGGUGCUGCAAAGCUUUCUGCUAUGUAAGGAACUUAAUUUUGUACCUGGAAUAUGUCAUCACCAAGAUAAGCCUGCAGCAUUCGUAUAACAGCAGAUCCCUUUUUAUAGCUGAUAGCAUCGAAUAUUUCAAGAACUGAACGUGCGUGGUUUACCUCCACCUGACAUUAGAUGAUGUCUCAAAAUUCUCUUUUUACAGGAUCCUAAAUUUUUAGAGUGGUAAAUGGUGUGAUCAUUUGAGAAGAUAUACAUAAUGUUUUCCUUGCAGCAUAUGCUUAGAUAGACAUGUUAUCGAUUUUUGAUGGAGUCCAUAACAUCUUUUGCAUAUAUUUAAAUUAGUACUUGAUAGCUACCUGAAUUGGAUGUGAUUGUUCCAGGGCAUCAAUAACUAAGCCACCAGUAGUCUGUUGAAGAAAUUGAGACCAAACUUUCCACUCAGGAAACAAAAUAUCAGUGGCCAAAUAGCUUAUCUGGUAAAACACGAUCGAGCAGGUAUAGAGAAAUCAGACAAUAUCCAGAAGAAAAAGAAAAGAAAAAUAACACCAGAACGUUGAAAGGUACAGAGCUGAAUGUCUCAAAAGUACCCAUGUCGCAAAACCUUCAUUAAGCCAUAAAUCAGUCCACCAUUCCAUGGUUACCAGAUUGCCAAACCACUGAUGUGCUACUUCAUGUGAUACAACAAUCGCCAUCUGAACCAGAAUAGGGUUAGAGAGCAUACUACAAAAGAGGAACUUGACACAAUGGAAUGUUGUGAUUCAUUGAGAGGAGUGAUGGCAAAAGAGAAACAAAGCUGAAAUCUUGAGUCAGAUGUUAAACUCACUCUCUGCUUCCUUGCUGCUGUGGAGUGCAAAUGAUCAAAAAGGAGUUCAUUUUCACGGUAUGUGAUCAAACCAUAAUUCUCCAUGGCCCCACCAGAAAAUUCAGGAACUGCAACCAUAUCAAGUUUGGGAAGUGAGUAAGGGGUUGAGAAGUAUCUAGAUGAUAUAACCAGGUUAGAAAGAGUAUAAUUUAGCAAUGAACAGUGAAAGAGAUCUUAUCUAUCAAGCAUCUAGAUGAAUACCGAAUUGAACAGAAACAUUAGAGAGGGAAGGAAAUUACUUGGAGAAAAGAUCAAGGGUCUUAACGGCAAGAUUUAAAGCAAACUCCCCAUUAUCACUGUUCCCAACUGGGCAAUAUGCACGAACCUUUACCCCUGCAAACGAAGUCUCAAUAGUUUGAAAAGAAAUGAAUUAAACAAUUGAACAAAUUCUCCAUUGCUAUAUAUGCAUACCAUCAGAUGUUGUAUCUUCAAUAUAAUCAAACAGGCCAACAACAACAGCCACCAAAUAAGUUGACAUGAUUGGAGAUUCCUCAAAAUAAACAGUCUUAACAUCUCCAUCAAGCUGUUCAUUAACAACUGGCAUAUUGGACAAAGCUGUCAGCUCAGAUGGUACAUCUAAUGCUAUCUUGAAGGUGGCCUGUUAAGAAUUGAGUUGAAGCAGAGAAAAAAAACCCAGAUUUAGAAGAAUUAGCAAAGUGCUUUACAUUACUAUGACUGUUUGAUAAUAUGUGGUGGAAGAAAUUAACAUAUAAUAUUUUCAGGCGUUCUAUCAGAUGAUAAUAGAGUUUCAACUUUCACUUAUGGGAUUUUUCAAACUCAGUACCUUGAGAGCAGGCUCAUCCCAACAUGGAAAGCAUCGCCUCGCAUCCACAGCUUCAAAUUGAGUAACAGCCAUAUUCUUUUUCUCUCCUCCAUCCAAAUAAGUACUGUGAAAAUUGUGAAUGCUUUCAUUAAAAACUUAAUUAGUGUGUUAGCUGAUGAUGCUACAGGGAAAUAUGCUAACCUGCAUUUCAUUCUUUUCUAAAAGCCUGCUAAUCAACUACUUCAUAAAUUUCUGAAAUCUACCAUUGAGUACUGCAAUUUAUAGUUUGUCUGGGAAAUAAAACAAGUUUUCUUACCAUUUAUAUAACCCCUUCAAGUGCGCAUUAAGGACUGCAGAAAACUCAACCCCCAGGACUCCCUCACUAGUACCAAGUGCUUUAUUAAAGACCAAAACAAGAAAUUCAUCAUCUCCAUCUAAAACAACAUCGCAGGGGUGGUACUUCUGCAAAUUAACAAUGAAGAUCUUUCUUAGUGAAAAACCAAAUAAACCAAAUAUAAUUAAAGAAAAUCAUUGAUUCAGAACUGUUACUUGGCCUUGAGAGUUGGUGAACCAAACUUGAUGAACAUCAAGUUCAAGAGCGUUCAUGACAAGAAACUGGUCUCUUCAACGAUGCUAAGGUGUAUCUGCACGGUGCCAGAGAAGGUGCAGGCAGAGAGAUCAAGUUUGAGAUGGAGAUCAUAGUGUUUCGGGAUUGCGAAACUCGGUAGCCUUGCUCGGCCUUUGAACUGCUCUAUGCUUUGCUUCUGUUCCAUUUCUGUCUGUAGCUUAGUGUAGUGAAGCUAUUCAAGUGAGUCUGAUACUAUUCUCUGGUAGGUGAUAGGAGUAAAACUUCAACAGACCCAAAAAGACGGUUAGCUUGAUGUUUCAGUUUUGUCUCUUUUUUUUUUUUAUGGAAAUUCAGUUUUGUGUCUUUGCGUAGAAAGUCGAAGAUGGCUGUGUAGGCUGUCUUAGGAUGAUGGUGACCCCUAUCUUGUCUUUGCUUCUGUCAUUUGGUCAACUCAUAGGCAUAAAUGGGUGGAAGCAAUCAAUCAUGUGAAUCCCUCUAAUUUUAUAACACAUAGAUUGGUUUAAUAUGAUGGGUGCCAUCAUUUUAGACAAUUGAAAACUGAGAGAAUAAGUGCCUGAGUUGGCUCAGUGCUCAGAUCGAUGAGGCCAGCAUUAUGCAGAAAGCAUAAAAGAAAAGAGACAAGCUAGAUUGAGGGUGUGAAAGUACCAUGAUAAUUAACAUAUUGCUAAUUAGAAACGUGAACUCUUAAUUGUUAUACUCCUGCUUGAACAAGUAAACUUUUCAAGACUUGCAAGUAGAAACUCAAUGCUCGUAGGAUAUUCGUCUAAUCCGAGUCCGAAUCCAAAAACUUUCUGCUUGCCCUGAAAUACGAAAUAGAGCAAAUAAGCAAGCAAGGAAGCAAUUAGAAGUUUCUCCUGCUUGCUAUCAGAUACCGAACAAAGCAAGGCAAACAAGUGAUUCACAGAAACAUUAAGUGAACGGAAAACCACAUAUCUUGGAAGCUGAAGAAAACUUGUUAUAAGGAAAAAUGGGGUGGAAUUCAUAAACUAAAGAACUCAUGCUAAAAAUUUGGCAAUGCUGCCUUAUAAAUGACUCCCUCUCUCCACCAUAUUCUGAGCACUACAAGCUAAAACAGGUUCCUCAUCCUACAUUGAAUCGCCAAAGCAAAAGGCACAUAGAGAACAAUACCAAUGCCUAAAGGCUCUAAACAAAACAACAAGUGACAUUAGAGUACAAGAAGCUCUUAGAGCAGAACACACUCACAGUGCCCUCUACAAAACUAAUGCCUUGGAGUCUCUGACUUACUCAAGUACUUCUUCAAAACAUCCAUAACCGACCCAAAAUCAGCCUUCACUUGCACCGGCGGGUUAGCAAACCGGCAAGCCAAAUCCGGAAUCUCCUUAGAGUGAUAAUCAAUCUUCGCCUGUGUGAACUUCAACCCGUGAGCCGUGCUCACCACCACAGUCCUCUCUGUCGCCCCUAUAACCCCCUUAUUCCUCAGCUUGAUCAACGCCGCCAGCGCCACGCCAGUGUGAGGACAUAUAAACAUGCCAGUCGAAUCCGCCUGAGCCAUUGCAUCCAUCAGCUCCUCCUCAGUCGCCUCCUCCACAAUCCCAUCCGACUUCUUCAGCGCAUACACAGCCCUGUCAAUCGAAACAGGGUCCCCAAUCUGAAUGGCAGACGCAAAUGUAGUAUUGGCCUUCACCGGCCUGAACUCCUCAUCCCACCCUGACUUGUAAUGCAGAUACAAAGGAUUCGCAUUCGCAGCUUGAGCACAGACUAGCCUCGGAAUCCUAUCAACCAGCCCCAGCUCCUUGCACAUGUGAAACCCUUUGUAAAAUGCAUAAAUGUUUCCGAGAUUUCCUCCCGGAACUAUGACCCAAUCCGGGACCUGCCAGUCGAACUGCUGCAGGAUCUCAAUGGCAGCUGUUUUCUGUCCCUCAAGCCUCAAACUGUUGAGAGAGUUCGCCAGAUAAAUCGGCAGCUCCGCCGUGACUUCCCUAAUCAGCUGCAUACAGCCGUCGAAAUCGGUAUCAAUGCUCAGCACAAAGGCGCCAUUCGCAAUCGGCUGGACCAGCUGCGCCACGGAGAUCUUGUUCGCCGGGAGGAACACAAUGGAGGGGAUCCCGGCUGCGGCGCAGUAGGCGGACAACGCGGCGGAGGUGUCGCCGGUGGAGGCGCAACCGACGCCGACGACGGGGCGGUUCAUUUUGCGGAGGCGGUUGACCUGGCUGACGAGGACGGUCAUGCCGAGGUCCUUGAAGGAGCCGGUGUGGCUGAUGCCGCAGUGCUUGACCCAGAGCUCGUUCAUGGAGAGGACUUGCUUGCCGUAGCGCUCGGCCCAGAAGAGGUUGGAGUUGCCUUCGAAGGCGGAGACGAUGUCGUCGGAGUCGAUCUCGGGGAGGACCCACUCCUUUUUGGACCAGACGCCGGAGCCGUAGGGCCAGGUGGUUUUGCCGAGGCGGGAGUCAAAGAGGUCGCGCCAGUAGCGGCCGUCGUAGUUUUUGAGGGCGGACAUGUCGUGCUGGACGUCGAGGAGGCCGCCGGACUGGGAGCGGUAGACGAUCUCGUCGAGGGAGUAGGAUUCGGAGGACGACGUGUCGUUUGAGGAGGAGGAGUUGAAGGGGACGUAUUUGGCGGAGAAGUGGUGGGGGUGGGUGGUGUUGUGGCGGUGGGCGUCGUCGCGGAUGUUGUCGCGGCAUUUGGAGGAGGAGGAGCAUUUGACGGUGGUGAAAUGGGGUUUGGGGAGGGAGGGGAGAUGGGGGUUUGGGGUUUGAGAGAGAAGGAGGGGAUUGGAAGAGGGAGGAAGACGCCAUUGUUGAGAUUUGAGAGUGAGUGAGUGAGGGAGUGUGGAGAGAGAUCUCUCUGUAACUGGUGGUUUUGUACGAGAACAAGUGAGGUUUAAGGAGAUUCGUCACUACGGCUGAGGGGUAGGGUUACGUUGGAUUGAAUGUUUUAAUUAAUUUUGAGUAGUGCUGCAUGCACCAAAUAAUUUUACCAAAAAUAAUACAAAAUGACGUGGCAGUGACCAUGUUAACACUUUUGUUUUGAUAUAAUUAGUGACAUGGAUUUUAAUUAAUUAACUAUAUAAACAAAAUUAAAAACUGUAAAUUCUUUUACUUAUCUUUUUUUUUAAUAUCUGAAACUCUAAUUCAUCAAUCUCAAGAAUUCUAUCUCCAAACGAAAUCCAGAUGUUAAAAAAACUGAUCAAAACUGUCAUGCCUUCUAAAAUGAUCUUCUAUAAGUAUCAAGCUUCAUGAGUAACUAUGACAGAUUUUGAUUGUUAAUAUCAACACUUUUAAGAACACUAAUUUAUCAAUUGAAAGAAUUCGAUUAUUUGGAAGAAAUGUGUUGAUACCCGAAAAAUCAUGCACUUUGCCACGCUACGAUUUGUUACACAAUUCGUGCAAAAAUCUAUAAUCUUGGGUUAAAUCCUUGAUUAUAACCCGUCAAGCAAACAUGCCUAUUGAUGUGGGCCCAAGCCACAUCCACGCAUAUUUAGGGCUUGUAGAAGUGGGUAUGGUGUGGAUGGUUACGAAGGCACAUAACGCUCGUCCGUCUAUUUAAUGUUGUCAAUUAGUUUCAAUCUUGGGCCCGAAACUCAAGCCUGACGACUUAAGUUGGCGACGAACCGGUGAAGAACGUGAGAAUUGGACUGUUCAUCUUUUAAACCCAAAAUAUUUUUAAACCCAAAAGCCCAACACCUUUUUCCUCUUUAGAAAAGCCCAAACUCUCUUUUUCUAAGAAAGACCCGAUCCCUUUCUUUCUGCAUUCCCAUUGCUAAACUAGAUGUCACCUUAUUUUACUCCCCGCAACAGUACGACGACAGCUUGGCAUAACAAAGAAGUCUCUUUCAUCUCCAAUCUGAGGAAGAAGAAGGUCAGUGACUGGUUCCAAAGCAACUCUUUCAUCCUCGAAUGGCGAAAUCGUGGGAUUCAAGCUACUUGGUCCGCCUCGUUCUGAGUUUUCUGUCUCCGCAGCCGUCCUUGCAGCGCCCUCGCAGUGAGUCAUCUCUCUCAUCUCUCAAGACCAGCUGCUCUUUGUCAGGUUUUGAGGCUAAGACCAUAUGCUUGAGAAGAACAAUCCUUUUACACAGUGGAUUAGACUUUGUGACUGUUAAGGGUAAAAAUAUAAUUACUCAGUUUCUGGUGUUAAUACACUGGUCUUCUCUUGUAUAUAUAGUGCAAGUCUUCUACACAUGUAUUCAGUAAAAACACAAUAUCAAUAUACAAGUCCUUUCUCUCGAUUUCUUUCUUUUCUUCCCUAGCUUUCAUGGUAUCAAGAGCCUAGGUUUCGUUCUUGGAGCACCAAAGUCUAUCUCUUUGCUUCCGCACGUUUUCUCUUAUCUUAGAUUCGUCUUUCUCCAAUUUCAGUGUCCUUAACCCCAAUUCCAUAGUCCAAUUUCAAACCAAUUUCUUCUCCUCGGUUUGUUAUCGAGGAAGCCCAGCCAUUCUUCGUUACCAGCUCGUCCUGAUUUGUCGCCUUCUGUCCUCAACGGGUGCUCCUUUCUCUGAUUUGGUCGCCUGACCUCGAUUUGUUACUAUGUUCGAUUGAGUCUGGGUUAUUUGGCUUAUCAGAGAUUGCUUGGAGUUUCAAUUACAUAUUCAGAUAAGUUCUUCCUCAAAACUGUUCAGAUUGAUUGCAAGUUAUUGGUUAUCUCAGAAUUGUGCAGUAAAUUUUCUUUAGUUGAUUAUUUUCGGGAACAUUGGAAAGGCAGUGUUACUUUUUGUGAUUGGUAUUUAAAUUGAUAUUAGCAAGACUAUCAUUGGUUUUGGGUUCUAUCUUUUGAAGAUUUAUGCUCCAUCGGACAUCUAUUCUAGCAUUGUUUGAUUUAGUGUAGAAAAUUUGGUGGCUUUUGGGGUUUGUCCAGAUAAUUGAUGAUAUUGGGAAAGCUUUUAUUGUGAGUCAUGAGUAAGAACCUGGAGCUACAUAAUUGUCUACUUGUCAACUUCAGAAAUUUCAUCUCAAUCCAGUUAGAUGAUUCUAACUAUGUGACCUGGAAAUUUCUAGUAGAGACACUAUUAAAAGGUUGUGGCCUGAUGAAAUAUGUAGAUGGAUCAUUCCCUUGUCCACCAGAAUAUAACACUUUGGAAGAAAAUGGGGUUGCAUCUGAGAUAGAACAUGAGUAUAUGAGUUGGGUGCAAAAUGAUUCGGCUGUUAUGUCUAUACUUGCAGCUACCUUGUCAAGUAAUGCUCUCUCAUUCAUUGUUGGAAGUAAGAAUUCUAAAGAAAUUUGGUGUCGGCUUAAGGAGAAAUAUGUUGAUACUUCACGGUAUAACAUAAUGAAUCUUAAAUCCUCAUUGUACAACAUUCAAAAAGGCUCAGAUUGUAUUGAGAAGUACUUACUCCGAGUCAAGGUGAUUUGUGAUCAGCUCGUUGUUUUAGAAGUUUCUAUGGAUGAGGAAGAAAUAAUUGAGUCAGUUCUUCAUGGUUUGCCAUCUGGGUUUGCUGUCAUUAAAGCUAUAAUCAGAAUCAAGACAAUGAAUUCCUCUGUUUCAAUGACAGAAAUGAGAUCUCUUUUGUUGCUGAAGAUGAGAUUGACAAAAGUGUUAAGUCUAUUUUUGAGAAGCUCAAGACUGAAAUGAUGGAACAUGGUCAUAGUCUCAAUAAAUUUGCUCUUGCUACCACUCCAACUCAUGUUACAAAUGCCAAAUAUGAUCAUGCAAUUCAAUACAAUAGAGCAGUCAAUUAUGGUGUACCUCCAUUGUACGUAUUUCAUGUCUACAAGCUCAAGUUGUAUUUCUGCACCUGUCAACACUAGUGGAUAUGCUCAACAACCUCCUUUGCCACAGUUUGCUGCUUUUCUAGUCAAGCAUUUGAUUGUAAAUCACAUAUUGAAGACCUCAAAUUGGUCCACAAAGCAAACAAUGAAAAGUAUGAAGCCAUAAUUGAUGAUGCAAAACGUGAAAUUCAUCUUCUUACAAGUACUGUAGAAGAAUUCAAGACUAAGUUACAAAAUGCAAAGGCUGAUUGGGAGCUGAAAGAACUUCAGUUGGUGGAUUCCGUCAAGCAUUUAGAAGAAGAAAACUCUUCUAUGGAAAAAGAAAUUAGUAGGCUGCUAAAUUUGCUCAAAAGCACUGAGAAGGAAGCUUGUGCUAUAAAGGAAGAAGAAGCGCAGUUGAAAGAUAGCAUGAAGGAAAUAAAAUCUGAGGUUGUCUGUUUGCAGAAAACUCUUGUAAAAGUAAAGGCUGAGAACUUGAAAAUAAGUGGGAGCAUAAUCGACAACGAAAGUGCUUUGAGGAGUGUAAGACAUGAAAAUGAAGAGUUCCAUGUCAAGGAGGCUGUUUCUCACAACGAAAAUGCUUUGAGGAGUAUUAUACAUGAAAAUGAAGAGCUCCAUAUCAAGGAGGCUAUUUCUCAUAAGAAGGUGGAGGCUGAUUUGAGAAUUUAUAGAGGUGGAGCAGGUCACAAGCCUAUAUCUACUAGUAAUCGCAACAACUAUGAUCCUGUUGUUUGUGUUGGUAUUCCUGUCAGCUGUGCUAUCAUUGGUAAUGCUAUUCGAUUUGCUGUUGGAAAGAAAAACAAUGAAAAUGACAUUGCUAGUGUAGCCUUCUUCAUUCUUUGUUGGAUUUGCAAUUAUAUGAAGAACUCAAGCCGGAGGAUUUUAUAUGUCUUAUUCUGGUGGUUACAUAGCAGAGCUUUUGUUGACCAUGGCUUGAGGAAAAGCCUUGUCAAGUAUACUUCGUGUUGGAUUUUGGUGCUUUCUACCACGUUUGCUUUGAUAUGGAAUGUGAUGAUAUUGAUCUUCAAGGAAAAAAAUAUAACUUUUUACAGUAAGGCUGAUUUGUCAGAGCUACUACAAAAUUCUUGGAAUGUCAGAGUUAUCAAGUGGCCUUGUUUCCUGUUGUACAAUGAUCUGCUGCUUGCAUUUAGUCAAGCCAAAGAGGUGACAACCAAUUCUUUCAACACACUCUUCGAUCUUGUCUUUAUGUUGUCAGUAUGUGUCUAUGCUAGAUUAGCAAGAUUCUUCAUCACAUCUUGAAGACCAGCCAUAUCUUCUUGAUUACUAACUGUAGUCAGAACUUAUCAUUCAAUAUUCUGAUGAAGACAAAGCUCAAGAGCUUGGAUCAUGUUCCAGGCAAUUCUUCUAUCUUCUGCAAUCUGAUGCUAGGUUCCCUCCCAUCAGCUUAAGGGGGGCUGUUAAGGGUAAAAAUAUAAUUACUCAGUUUCUGGUGUUAAUACACUGGUCUUCUCUUGUAUAUAUAAUGCAAGUCUUCUACACAUGUAUUCAGUAAGAACACAAUAUCAAUAUACAAGUCAUUUCUCUCGAUUUCUUUCUUUUCUUCCUUAGCUUUCAGUGACCCGUCGCAAAACCCAACCAAUUGAACUCUAUAAAAGAGAGGUCUGGGAGCUGCAAAGGGAUAAGGUAACCAACCCAGAAAAAUCCCUCAAACACUCAAGCUUUCAUGCCUUCAAACCUUUAAGCCAAAACCCCCCUUUCUAGCCAUCCUUCAAUCCCUCUCCUUUGAAACCCAUAUUUUUUCCAGAAAUCUAACCCAGAGAGCUCAGUCCAACUUUCAUCACCGCGGUGUGCCUUUAGCUCCCACGCCAACUCAUGCUACAAGCCUUUCUAGCCAUCCUUGAAUCACACACAAGAUUAACUUAGUAAUUCAAUUCUCUGAGUUGAUUUUGGCUUAGUUAUUUCCAAAUAAAAAAGAACCCCCACAUAAUGAUUAAAGCUUGAUGGGUUUUGAUUCUAUUUUUUUUUUCUCUAAUCAGAAUGUCUGAUUUUCUUCAUUUUUGUUUUCGAUCUCUUUGGGUGGUUGACAUUGAUUCUUUCAUGGCAGAUGGUUGCGACCAUCAGUAGAUGGUGAAGAGGAAUUUUGAUUUUUGAUUUUCAGUUUAUAACAUAUGUAAUACAAUCGAUAAAAUAUAAAUAAUUAACUUUAAUCAAUGUCGGCGAGAUUCGAAUCUGGGUAUAAGGGUACCACACCAAGACUCUUACCAACUCAACUAUCUGUGGUGGAUUUUGUAUUAGAAAUUUAAGCAUGUGUUGUGUCUUAUCUAUAUGGAUCUGGAUCCUCUCCUAAUUAACCUAUGUUUUGCCUAACCUUAUCUAAACUUCUCACCAGAUGACGACAUGUGUAUAUAAUGACAUCCUACGAUUCAUAUUGCUUUUGAACCUAUUUCCUCUUUUUCAAUUUUUUUUUUAUCAUUAAAAGUAGGUUUGAGAACAUGUCCUCAUAUUUGUGGAUCCUUUGUUUAUUUAUCAUUAUUUUAAUCUCCUCUCUUCCACAUAGUUCCAAAAUUCUACCUAUGCUAAUCUCUUCUCCAACUUUGCAUUCUUAAUCUCAUGCCUCACACAACUACCGGCUUGGCAAACCUCAUCCAGCUUUUUCUUGCUCAUGGCCAAAGCUGCCUUCUUGUCAUGGCCAUGGCUGGCGUUAAACUUUUUAAAUGUAUGAACCGGCGUGCCGGACCGGAUCAGGGCAUGGUUCAGUCGGAGAGGGUCCUCUUAAUUGUUUUGAUGGUAAUAAACUAAUAGACAUAUAUAAGAAAAGAGCUAGGCCGUUAGAUAUGAGAAAAAUACGUGUCGUUAUCUGGUGAGAAGCUUAGGCAAGGUUAGGCAAAACAUAGGUUAGGAGAGGAUCCGGAUCCAAUCAUAUUUAUAUACUAUGCUUUGUUUAUCUACAUAGUUUUAAUUCUAGCUUGUUCUUUAGUUAGUGAAUUUAUAACAAGCGGUGCUAGCAUGUCAAUGAUGCCACACCUAUAUACUGUGGUAACGUUAUGUAUCCGUACCAUUCGGGCUUAAGAUGAAUGAAAUUACUCAUCAGACAAAAAUGGAAGGAAAAGAAAGACUAAGAAAUAGACUAUACCCAAUAUUAUUAUUUUCUUGAGUGAUUUUUUUAUAUUUUGUUUUUGUUUAGUAGAAUGUCACCUGGCUAAGCGGUGUCCGGUUCUCCCAUAUAAAAACCCCUCUGCCCCCUAAACCCUAAAAAUCUAAAACCUCAGAGGCUGAACCAAAGGAUCACAUAAACCCUAUUUUCAAGCUUCUCAGGCCAAACCCUUCCUCCUCCAGGAAACCAGAAAACAAUAUCACUACGCCAAACCCUUAUUCCUCUUCGUCUUCACGACUUUUGCAAUUGAAAAUCGGUUUCAAAAGUUUUUGUCAAUUUCAUUUUCGACUGAAAAAAAAACAAACAACCGGGCUUUGUGUUUUGGAAACGAAUUUCUCUGUUUUGGUUUUGAUUUUGCUUCUGAAAUUAUAUAUACAGUAGCUACUAACAUAUAUAUACAGUUUUUGUGUUGAUCUUUUGCAAUUGAGUUUCCAAAGCCGCCAUGGAUGGGAGUUUCAGUCUGGAUUCUGCACUGGAGAGGUUCCUCUCUCGUUGCCCAAAGCUGCGAUCGUUUCCGAAUUUCGAUUGGCUCUCGAAAAAGGUACAAUUUCCAUUCUCAAUUGCUCGGCUAUGUUUCGGUUUCCCAAGAGAUUGAAGAACAGAAAAUGAGUAGAGUAUGAAUGAUGUGAAUGAAUUUUGUGACUGCAGGGAGACAAGGUUACCGAAGAUGAAGUGGUGAAAGCGCUAGUGGAGGUGUUUGUGAAUCCUUGUUAUACUAUUCCCCUGGUAGGAUGUUUUCGGCCUAUAGUUGAGGAGGUUGUGGUUAAGACUGUGGAGUUGCUUCGGCUGGUGCCCAAUUUGGGGACUAAUACUGACACAAGAGUUGAGAGUUUUGGGGAAGAUGGUGAUUUAAGUGAGGUGUAUAGUGUUGUUGAGUUUUACAAUAGAGCUGGGAGGGGAUUGGAUCUUCAUGAGCAUGCUUGUUUGGCCUUCUGUCGUGCCCUUGAUUUGGCUCCUUUUUUGAUGGGGUAAGUUCAUCUGUUUGUAAGUUUAAGCCUAAUGAUAAUCUAUAAUCUAUGUAUUUUGUGCAUGUUUCUUGUUUCUUUAUAUGUGUGAAAUUGAUACUACCAAAGAUAUACUUGCUUGGAUAAGUUAUUGGAACAUAAAUAUAACUAAGUUUGACUUAGAUAUCAAACUUAAAUGAAUAGUGAUCUGAGGAUUGAAGCUAGUUAUUUUCUUCCGAACAUAAACUUUAUAGACAUCCUAAUGAUUAUUCGGGCAGAACUUACCCAUUGUAGAACAGAGUACUAUUCAUGGUCAUUGCUUUGGAUGAAAGAGUAGUGUCAGCCAUGCUAUAGACUACUUCCUUAUCUGUGUGUAUCUCAGCCAUGGAAUGAAACUUAAAAGUUGAGAACAUGGUUUGUUCUUGCUUAUAGGGCAAUAAUGAUAUUGGUGCUUGGACUCUUAGAUUAUGGACGAUGGUUUGCAAAAUGGUGUAAUUCUGUUGCAGCAACUACUUUUUUCUGCAACCUCCCUUGGAAGGCUAGUGUAUAAGGGUGGAUUAUGGGCUCCCUUCUUCAUAAAUAUUUUCUCCUCCAGCUAUCUAAGCUGAUUGUAAAUUGCUAAUGCUAGUACUUAUACAACUAACUUGACUCGUAAUCCUCAAGGAUAUCACUCCUUCAGCCUAAAGAGAAAAAGUAAAUUAAAAUCUCAAAGAUCUUGUGACCAAAAAUAUGAAUAAUUGAUUUGUGAAACUUUUCAGUUUAUUACUUAUCAUCUGUCAACUCAUUUUGUCAUUACCCUGCUUCAUUUGUUUUUGAACGUAAAGUGAUACAGUUUUGGAAACUGAAUCUUGAGCAUUUUCCUUAUACGUUUGUUGUACGUAGAGGCAGCUUUAUCUUGAUGUUUAGAUAAUGUUCAAAUAUGUUGUCAGGUUGAUGUGGGAAGUUUAACUGUAUAAAUUGUGUGUUAUCGAAAAAAACUGUAUAAGUUGUGUCAUUUACUCCAUCUACUAUUUUCCUAUGUUUGCAGGUCUGUAGAAAGUUAUUUCAAAUUUUCUCCACCACCAUUUGAGCGCAUUUUGAAGAGACCAAAAAAUUCUGAUCUCUCUUUUGAGGUAUGUAAAUAUUCUAGCAAGUGUUUCUGUAAAUAUGUAAAUCUAUGUCUUUCUCGCCGAAAGAGUUGAUCUACUAUUGCUAUUUUUUUCUGAUAUAUAUGUUUUGGUUCAUCCUUUUUAUUGUCUGUAAUUUCGUACGAAUCAUAUAUCAGCAAAAUACUUCAAACAUUAUAUCAAAACUUAAAAAAAUAAUAAUUUCAUCAUAGGUGUUCAAAAUAUUGUGCAACAUGCCUUUUCUCAAAUGAAUAUGUGCCUUAGCUUCUAUGCACUAGCCUUGCAGCAAUGUAGGAUUUUCUUCGCAGUUGGAUUUUGGUUUCAUGAUUCUGUUUUGUUUCUGAACUUCGACCUUUCAUGAAAAAGAAAUGGGGUACAUGUUCAGUGAGCGGUCAAGAUGUAGAAACAAAACAUAGUUACACUUUGGUGACCUUUUGCUUUGCAAUUGUCAGCUGAUUGGUCCACAUUAAUCUAAUUAUCAUAUUUCAUGUCUGUUUUAUUUUUUGUAGGUUGGAACUGGUGUAUUGUAUGCUGUACGGAUUUCUUACCGCCUCCUAUUAACGGAAUAUAAUAAAUUCUCUAAAUUUUGGGACUUGUCUUGUUUCUUGGAGCUUGUUAGCCGCUGUGCAAAUCUUGAUCUGCGCUGUAGUACUUCAGAUAUAUUGGAAGUUAUCACAGACAUAAGAUGGUGCGGACUGCAGAUAGUGUCACUUAUUCUUAAGCUCAGUGAUAAAGGAAUUUCAAAUUUGGGUAUCGGAGAUGAGGAUGCAUUUUCAUGUUUAUUGAGGUUGGGUUAAUUUUUUGUUUUUUGUUUUUUGUUUUUUUUCACUCUUAAAUAGUUAGAAGUAGAGAGCAAUACAAAAGAGUGGAUGAGGAAUCCACGGGCUAGAACUGAGAAUAUACACGAAAACUAGCAAUAAGAAGGCAGUAAAAGCUGCCUUCCUUUACAACCACUAGCAGAUAAUAGAACGGUAAAAUAGUGCUUGAAAAAUCAUUCAAUGGAUCAGUUCCAUUGCCCUCAUAAACCUAAAAUCUGUUUUAUUUAGUUUUUGUAUUUUUUUAUUUUUGCUGAUUACGAAUAGACAGCUUCAUUAGACUUUAGCUUGGUUUGUAAAGCCGGAAAAUGCACCCAAAGUAGCAUCGUUCUAAAGACACCUUUGCAUAUGUUUUGACUCUGCCAAUAGCCACCCACCCCAAGGAGGGACCAUCAAUCUCCAAACAUACUAGAAAUAUGGACUACUCUAUUUUAUAACACAUUGACAAUAGUUUUUAUCUGCUUGCGUUUAUUCAUGAUGUUGGAGAUGAGGUUUAAUAACCAACUUAAUUAUAUGUUAUGUAAAUAAUUUAUCUUUUUUUUAAAAUUAUUCUAGAUGGAAAGAAUUUUGUCGGGAUGUCUCUUUGGAAAAUGCUGGCUUGUUUGUUGAUUCGUUCAAUCGAGAGGAAGUCGAGUCACAGAGUGCAAGCAGUGCAUAUCGUCAGAGAAGCUGUUUGCUGCCUUCUAGUCUUAAUACUAUGCCUAUUCCUUCAUCACAGUGUUAUGCAAUUGAGCCACAAAUUAAGAGACAAAGGUGAGCUCUGUGGUUGCACUUUUUUGAGAGAGAGUGGUAGAGCGAGUUUGAUUUCCAGAUUUUCCCCAUAUGCAUUCACAACUGUUCUUUGUUGUCUCACUACUGGAUGUCAACUUUUAUGUAUAAUGCUUAGGAAUGAGAGAUCAUCUGCAAAUCCUUUGCCCAAUGACAUAUCAGGUGCAAAUCCAUUUGUCUUGACAUCAGCUGUGAAGAAAAGUUAUGAGAUGAUGCUCUUAGCUGUAAAUCAAAGGUGGCCUGUUCUUCUUUAUGGUCCCACCGGCAGUGGGAAAUCUGCUCUCAUCAGCAAGUUGUCUGAGGACAGUGGCAAUCAAGGUAUAUGCAAAUUGAUAUUCUUUAUCAUAACUUCUAAACUAAAAUUGACAAAAGUAACUUUAGAGUACUUUAGGGUGGAGUCUGGAAUGCAUAACUUAUACUUUCAAAACUGGUGUAGGUCAUGGGGAAGAGAAACUCAUUGGGUACCAGUUUUUAUGUUGGAAUCAGACCUUAAACUGUUAAAAGUAGAACCUAAACUAUUAUUUGUACCCUUCCAUAAACACAAAAUCCCUACACAAGCUGGAACAUCUAUUGAAGAAAACAGAUAUUAGGUAAAAGGAAAAUGAUAGUUCCCAUUAUGAGAGUUUUGUGUUUUGUUAGCAUUGGCACUACAAAAGUAACAGGUAUCCAAUUGAGAUACAGCAAGCACAAAUAAGUGCUCUAGAAAAGUUGAACAUAAAUUUCUGCUUAUGUCUUAAGAGUCCUUGGGUUAGCAUGCUGCUAUGAACUUACUGAUUUACUUGUAUGGCUGGUGUUUCUAGUUUCAUUCUAUGGAAAUCUGAAUUAGUUUCAUGCGCUCUUUUAUCUAGUAUUUUCUUCAUGGCAAGUGUUUGUGAUUUCUUGUGUGACUGGUUCUGCUCUCUUAUUGUAGUUUUAUCAAUUCACAUGGAUGAUCAAAUUGAUGGUAGAACACUCAUUGGCAGUUAUGUCUGCACUGAAAAACCUGGCGAGUUUAGAUGGCAGCCGGGGUCACUUACCCAGGUUUGUAAUUUUUUUUUCAUACAUUUUCUUUUCUCCAUACACAUAUUCUCUAACCUCAGCUUCUCCUUAUUCAGGCUGUUUCUUUGGGGUAUUGGGUUGUCUUUGAGGAUAUAGACAAAGCACCAUCUGAUGUGCAUUCCAUCAUAUCACCCUUGCUGGAUGGUGCACGCUUCUUUGCAACAGGGCACGGACAGGUUAUUCUGCUUAUUUUGAUAUGCUACCUUUCUUGUAUUGUCAACUCCACAGUAAAACAGACACUCUUAUUGUCAAGUAGUAAUUGGUAUCACUACUGAGCCUUUGUUCAUGGAUCAUAAGAAACUAACCAUGUCAUAGUCAGAGGAUGCUUGCUAUGUAUUUAUUGAAUUAGAGUAAGUUAAUGCGAUCCCAGUCAUCCCAUAGUAGAUCCGCAAUGAGUAUGCCAGCCACUCGUUAUGACUUCUUUCAGAUGCAUCGGAGUGAUUAGUGAAACAUCGGAACUGGAACACGUUGUUUUCUUUCUGAUAAGGAACUACUUGUAAUUGAUUCUAUAGCUGUGGAGGAAGUUCAGAAUUCUGUGGAACUAUUGUUUUUAACCAACUGUACAAGGUCAAAUUAUUCAAAAGCCAAGUAACAACCCCACCAAUAGUUGUUAGACACUGAUCAUUGACAUUUUACUCUGGGACCGUAAACACGUUUCUUUAGAUUCUGUUGCAAACUGUACCGUCUGUCUAUCUGUUUAGUUGACAGAUAUAAUUUAUUUGAGGGAAAAUUCAAAUCUGUUGUUCUAGUCAUGGCGUAAAUAAUCAAUUUCCCUGACAUUUUCUUUUUGAAAAGGUCAUAUAUAAAUAAACAUUUUUCUUAUAUUUCUAUCAGUACCAACAUUUGGUCGGUGCGUCUAUGUUUUUUCGUAUUAGACCCUCGACAUUCUGCUAUUCUCUUACUUUAGUCGUUGGUUGGUGUAACUAUAUGCUCCUGCCUAUAAAAAGAAAAAAGAAAAAGCCCGGAGGAAAUAGUUGCUUCGGUUCUUGUUUCUCAUAUUCUAUGUUAUCUAGUUUUAUUUGUUUUUUUCUUGGUUGCUGUCCGUGAUUUCCUUGCCUAUUCAUUUCGAUCUACACUGUGAGUAUCAUGUAUUCAUUUUUAUGUACGGUGAAAGUGUUCUCUUCCUCUGUGCAUGGGUUACUUGCAUUUCUAUUCUAGCCUUUAAAUUUUUUAAAAGUAUUUCUGGCACAUUUGCAGGAGAUUAGGGUGGCCCAAAGUUUCCGACUAUUUUCCACAAUUUCAACUUCAAAUCUUGAUGUAUCAUGUAUUGCAGAAGGUUGGUUACUUGUUUCUUUUUGUCCGAAGACUUAAUAGUUGUACAUAGCAUGAGAAUUAAAAAUCAGAAUAUAUAGGUGAUUUUUCGGGAUCUAUAGAGGGAUUUAAUGGAUGUUAUGAGGUGGCCUGAAGUUUUUGUUAAUCUUUAUUUCUUCCUAUCAGGAUUCAUAAAGAUGUGCUUCUAUUCUCAUGUUAUUAAAGAGUUCCCUGUUUACUUAAUUUUACCGGACUGAAAUGCAGAUGUGUUGGAAUGAGUUAGCUAGUUGUUUACAUCUCUUUUUCUAGAUGUAGAAGCCUACCUGUUCAAAAUAGAGUUUUUUAUUUUAUUUUUUAUUUUUCUGGAAUCCAUUUUCAUUGCUUGUACUUAAUUUUUGUUCUGUUUUUUCUUGUCAUGUUUUUUUUCCUUUUCGUUUUUGUUUUGUGUCUGUGUCUCUUCUAUUUAUAUUAUUUUUAAACCUUUUUUCUUAUAAAAAGAGUCUUACAGUGGCAACCUUUGUAAUAAUAGUGGUGAGUGGCAUUUAUACGUUAUAACAAGUGUUAUUAUAUAUAUAAUUAUAUAUAUAUACACACACAAUUAUUAUCAGGUCCAAACGUCCUUAUUUAUUCAAAAGGUACGGAUUUCCUUAAUUGACCCACUUUUCGAUCAUAUGUUCUCAUCUUAACCGUUCAGCUUUUAGGUAUAUAUGAGUAGAUCAUCUCUACAAAUUUUCAGCCAAAUUGAUAAUCUUUAAAAACUGGGUCAAUUAAGGAAAAGUGUGUGUGUGUGUGUAUAUAUAUAUUCAGUUCAUCAGUUCAUGUCAAAACUAUUUGCGGCAGGUGGGAGUUCACUUUCUGCCGUUUGGAGGAGAGUAAUGGUUGCACCUUCAACUAUUGAGGACUUGCAAAUGAUAGUGAAAGUGUGUUAUCCAAGUUUAGAGUCUCUCUCUGUCAAGCUCACAGGUUUGCUCUAUAACGUGUUGGAAAUUACUUCUUAUCACAUUAUUCCUACAGACUGCUGACUAGUGCCUGUUCCAGAAACACUUGGAAGUGUCAACUCUGUCAUAUUACACCAAAUUGGUGGAUAUCAACCUGGAAACUCUGCUUGUGGUAGUUACCUAAGUAGAUUCUCUUCAAGGUAAGUGGUGUUGUACUAUAUUUAAUGUUUAAGUCUAGAGGAUUUUAACAUUCCUUUUAACUGAAUUUAAUGACAGGGAUCUCCUCAAAUGGUGCAAACGCAUAGAAGGGCUGAAAUUAAGCUUUUAUGGGGAUAAUUUGGAUUGUGACGCGAGAGUACGCAUCUAUGAGGAGGUGACACUUGAAUGUCCUGUUUCCGUUCUGUCAUUUUAAUAAUAUUCUUUGGUAAAGAUUGUGAGGGUUGUUUUUAUGAUAUUAGGCUGUUGCCAUAUUUGCUGCUUUCUCAACAUCUGUGAGAAGUCGGUUAACUAUAAUGAAAGAGAUCGCCAGAUUAUGGGAAGUGCCAUCAGAUUAUUCAGAAACUUUGUAUCCAUCUCACAAAUACAAACUCCAGGUCUAAGUUAAUUUCAAAAAAUAAAUUGUGUUGAAGUUAGUUUAUUAAUUUGAUGGCAUCAUCAGUUUCUCAUAAUUUUGAACUGUACUGCAGGAAUUACUAACAGAAUUAAGAGUUUCCCUCCUUCACUCUCAGAGCAAUGUUAGUCCUGAGCUUUUCACAUUGUCUUGAAAAAAUUAUGUUUGAUAAGAUGUUGGAUAUAGAGUUUGAUUUGAUAUUUCUAUGUACCCUUGCAGUUUUGUGGCAAAAGGAAGUCUUUUAUUGAUUUGGAUAGGUCCAUAUGUUUGCUCGAGAGACUAGCUUCAUCGGUAAAGUGGAAUGAGCCUGUUCUCCUGGUUGGUGAAACUGGGACCGGGAAGACUACACUUGUUCAGGACCUGGCUGGAAGACUUGAUCGGAAGUUAACUGUUCUGGUACUGUCACUAAUCUCCUUUUCUCUCUAAACUGUGGUUAUUGCCUUAUUUGUAGGUGUCCUUUGAAGAAAUUUUAAUGUGAAUAUAUUUCUGUCAGAACUUGAGUCAGCAAAGUGAUGUUGCCGACUUAUUAGGAGGAUAUAAACCCAUGGAUGAAAGUUUCGUGUAUCCUCUCUUGUAUAAGGAGUUUGAGCAUCUAUUCAAGAAAUCAUUUUCGGUGCAGGUAUUAUUUAAUCCGAACUUUUUUUGCUUGACUGCUUGCUUGUUACAGUCUUCUGAUAACUUGUCUUGUUUAUGUCCUUGUGCAGAAUAACAAUAUUUUUCUUAUGGAUUUGCAAGAGGCUCUUUACAGAAAAAAUUGGGAAAAGGUUAGAAAAAUCUUUACAAAGGCAGUUGACCAUUUCCAGAAGUCUGUGAAGGAAAGAAUGGAGUUGGUAAAAAAGGAAAGAAUUGAGUCAGUUGAAGAGACAAAAAAUGUGUCCCUUAAAAAGCGAAAACGGAUGAAACCUCGGACUGAUGAAGAAAUUAAAGCAUGGGAAAACUUUAAAUAUAACCUAGAGAAUGUCCGUGGAAUGAUAUUUUCAUUUGUAGAAGGAGCGUUUAUAACUGCAAUGAAAAAUGGUGAGUGGGUUUUGCUUGAUGAGGUGAAUUUGGCUCCUCCGGAGACCUUGCAGAGGAUAAUGGGUGUUCUUGAAGGAGAGCAUGGGUCACUUUGUUUAGCAGAAAGAGGGGAUAUUAGUUAUAUCGAACGACACCCUAACUUCCGUGUAUUUGCCUGUAUGAAUCCUGCUACUGAUGCUGGCAAGCGGGACUUGCCUUUAUCUCUAAGGAGCAGAUUUACAGAGUACUUUGUUGAUGAGGUUUUAGAUGAUAAAGAUCUGGAACGGUUUGUUGAGGAGACUUUUGGAGGCUUAAAGCCAAAAGAAGGUUUAGUAAAGAAGAUUGUGUGUUUUUACAAAACGGCAAAGAAAUUAUCUGAAGAAAAGCUACAGGAUGGUGCUAAUCAGAAACCACAAUAUAGUUUAAGGUCUCUCUACCGUGCUUUAAAAUAUGCAGAGGAGGCCGAAAGGUAUUUUGGAUUUGAAAAAGCGAUAUAUGAUGGGUUCUGUAUGUUCUUUCUCACUUUGUUGGAUAGAAGUAGUGCUGUAGCCAUGGAAAAAGUGAUCUUAGAACAUUUAUUGGAGAAGAAGUCUCCAAAAAGAGUUCCGUAUAAUCGUUACUUGUCCAGAUGCUACACCAUUGGAGAGAACUCUGAUGAGUUUAGAAAGAAGUACAUCAUAACUGAAAGUGUUGAGGAGCAUCUCAGGAGCUUGUCUCGUGCUAUUUGGACAAAAAAACAGAAGUAUCCCGUUCUCUUGCAGGGGCCUACAUCCAGCGGCAAAACUAGCCUUGUCCGGUAUCUUGCUGCAGUAACAAAUCAUAAUUUUGUACGGAUAAAUAAUCACGAACACACAGAUUUGCAGGAAUAUCUUGGUUCCUAUGUAGUUGAUAUUUCUGGGAAUCUUGUAUUCCAGGAAGGUGUGCUGGUAAAAGCUGUACGAAAUGGCGAUUGGAUUGUUCUAGAUGAGCUUAACCUGGCCCCAUCUGAUGUGCUGGAAGCAUUAAAUCGAUUGUUGGAUGACAAUAGGGAGCUUUUUGUGCCUGAGCUGCAGGAAAGCAUUCAUGCACAUCCCAGUUUUAUGCUUUUUGCUACGCAGAAUCCACCCGGUCUUUAUGGUGGGCGUAAAAUGCUUUCUCGGGCUUUCCGCAAUCGUUUUGUAGAGGUCCAUGUAGAUGAAAUUCCUGAUUCUGAGUUGAGCACAAUCUUAGAGAGGCGGCGGCCUGGAUUAUCUCCAAAGAUGGCCAAGAACAUGGUUGCUGUAAUGAAGAAAUUGCAAGAGAAGAGGCAGACAAGCAACGUCUUUGCCGGGAAACAUGGGUUUAUUACUCCACGUGAUUUGUUCCGCUGGGCUGAUCGUUUCAUAGAACUUGGGGCGAAGCCAGAGGAUCUGGUCCGAGACGGUUAUUAUCUUUUGGCAGAGAGGUUGCGGGAUGAAGGUGAGAAAUGUGUGGUUAAAAAUGUUCUGCAGGCAACCUUCCGUGUUGACCUUGGUGACUUGUAUGAUCAGGUACCUACUUUCUUCUCGUUUUUGUUAACGUUUGUGUUUGGGGCAUCCUGCUUUGACUCUUUGAGGUUCUUUUGGGUUUCAACUUGCAUUUUAACUUCAUUUUCAAGUUGACAUUAUUACGUUAGGUCAUGUCGAUCGGUCAAUAUCACUUGUAGUUGAACUUUACUAUUUUGAUGGACGAAUUUUAAGUUCUUCCUUUUUUUUUUUCUUUUGUCCAGGAAGAAUUAGUCUUGCUGAGAUACUGCUUUUUAUUUUUAUUUUUUCAUAUUUGAAAUAUCACACUAUAUUAUAUUAAAUUUUGGUCUCUUUUAUUUAUUUUCAUUUCAGGAGCAUGUUCCCAACUUGCCUAAUUGUCCUGACCUACCUGAGAAUCUCAAGUAUGUUCUAAGAUUUUAUCUAGUGUUAGUUGUUCUGAUUGUUUUACGAAUAUUGUUUGUACUCACACCAGUGAUUAUGUAUGAUGUAGUGUUAGUUGGACGAACAGUAUGCGGAGAUUGCACUUUCUUGUGGACCGUUGCUAUAGAGUGAAGGAGCCCGUACUUCUUGUUGGUGAAACAGGGGCUGGAAAGACAACUGUCUGUCAGUUACUGAGUGUUAUUUUGCGUUCAAAAUUGCACAUUUUAAAUUGUCAUCAGUACUCGGAGACUUCUGAUUUCCUUGGGGUAGGUUAAAGUAUUGUGUUUAGUGUUUUGUAAAAAAGUAUUCUCAUUUUUCUGUAGAUGGACUGGUUGUUAAUGAACUUUUUCACAGGGGUUUUAUCCUAUCCGAGAUAGAUCAAGACUGAUGUCAGAUUUUAAGAAAGGAAUUGAAGAACUAAUGACUGCAGAAGUGUCUAAACGCCUUCAUCUGGACCGUGUAAGCAUCUUAUCAGUUGUUUUCUACCCUACCGCAUCUGUAUGGAAGGUGUUUUUAGUUCAGACUUAAGAGUGCACUAAGGGAAUGUCGACUAUUGGUCUAGUAGUGCAGAUGCUUUUGUCUAUCCUUUGAAAGGAGAUUGGAAAAAUGGGAUUUCUUUCGAAAAAUAUUUUCUGUCAUCUUCUAUAAAGUUAAUAUUUAUUUAUAGUGAAAACAAUGCAUAUUUUUGUAAUGAAAGGAGUUAUUUGCAAUUUUUUGUUUCGUAUGUAUGUUGUUUCUCAUUUUUUUUUUUUUUUUNUUUUUUNNNNNNNNNNNNNNNNNNNNNNNNNNNNNNNNNNNNNNNNNNNNNNNNNNNNNNNNNNNNNNNNNNNNNNNNNNNNNNNNNNNNNNNNNNNNNNNNNNNNNNNNNNNNNNNNNNNNNNNNNNNNNNNNNNNNNNNNNAUCGUAAUAACUUCGUAUAAUGUAUGUCUAUACGUAAGUUUAUUACGUUUUUUUUUUUUUUCNGUAGAGUCUUUCUUCAGACAUAGGUGAAGCCUCUUCAGUGUUGUCAUAUCUAGACAAGAUAUUCAGAGAUCACAAAGGCCGUUCUGAUGUCUCAAGUGAAGACAGAACGACUUUGCAAGAGAUGAUGGUGAGGCUCUCGAAGAUGCACCAUGAGUGGAAAAAACCUUUUAUGUGGCAGGAUGGGCCACUUGUUCAGGCAAUGAAGAAGGGUGAUCUCUUUCUCGUGGAUGAGAUUUCCCUUGCUGAUGAUAGUGUACUUGAAAGGUUGAACAGUGUCUUGGAGCCAGAAAGAACUCUGUCUUUGGCUGAGAGAGGAGGUCCUGAGCUGGAGGAAAUUGUUGCUCAUGAGAGGUUCUUUUUGCUUGCUACAAUGAAUCCUGGGGGUGACUUUGGCAAGAAGGAACUGUCUCCAGCUCUACGCAACCGGUUUACAGAGAUUUGGGUGCCUCCUGUAGAUGAUAUAGCUGAGCUCAGAAGUAUCGCAUUGAAGAGAUUGUCCUCCCCGAAGCUCACCUGCAUCCUGGAUCCUAUGUUGAAUUUCUGGAAGUGGUUCAAUGACUUGAAACUAGGGAGAAUGCUUACUGUGAGAGAUCUGCUGUCUUGGGUUGACUUUAUUAAUGUAACCGAAAUCACAUUAGGAUCUCAGUAUGCAUUCCUUCAUGGUGCAUUCCUUGUUUUGCUUGAUGGACUAAGUUUAGGGAGUGGGAUGUCUAAAAGCAACGCGGAGGAGCUAAGAGAGCGAUGCCUAUCAAAUCUUUUAAUGCAGAUGAAGGUGUGUGUGCUUUUCGUUUGCAACUCUUCUUUCUCUGCUGAGUCCGUCUUAUUGUGUUGUACGCUACUAAAUUAUUAUAAAAAUUUUGUUUGUUUUUUGUUUUGUUUUUAUUUUAUUUUCAUUUAGCUGUAAAACUACCAGUUUUUUGAGUAUAUAAUUGUAGUGUUUUCAGCAUCAAUAUAAUCUAACCUUGCUUCUGGAUGGUAAACCAGGGCACUGAUAAACAGGUCUACCCAUUGCAAAAUUUUGGUUGGGGUGAUCUUGAAACAGCGACAGCCAAUUUGGGCAGUGAUAGCAUGCAUUGUGACAACAUUUUUGGUGUCUAUCCAUUCUUCAUAGCAAAAGGUAACUGUGCCUUGCAUGAUUUGGACUUCCCAAAGAAAAUUGUUUUUAUUCAAAAUCAUUUUUGGUUGUGAAUAUUACUCUCUUCCCAGUGAGUUUCUUUCUGAUGUUUUAGAUAUUCAAUCUUAUACAUGUCCUUUUGCAUUUCUUUGUAUAGGUUCUGAGAAUUGUGAUGCUGAAGGUUUUGAGAUUUUGGCACCAACCACCAGGAGAAAUGCAUUGCGGGUUUUACGAGCUAUGCAGCUUCCUAAACCUGGUAAUCUUCCCCUUUGUGUUCCUCUUCUGAGUGUCCCCUUUCUCUCAAGUUGAUCUGUUUGUUUCAUUUUUUGCUCUUUAACAUUCUCAAUUGGUUUAUGCAUUCCAGUUCUACUAGAAGGUAGUCCAGGUGUUGGGAAAACUAGUUUGGUAGUUGCCUUGGGAAAAUUUUCUGGUCACAAAGUUGUAAGGAUAAAUUUGUCUGAGCAGGUAUGUUUUUCUCUUUUUACCUGUUGUGCUGCUAUAUUCAUUGUAAACGUCUCCAUUUCUCUCUUGCCUUUUUCUUGCAUCCCAUGAUGGUUCUCCUGCUUCUGGUGCAGACUGAUAUGAUGGACUUGUUGGGAUCAGAUUUACCAGUUGAAAGUGAUGACGGAAUGAAGUUUGCCUGGUCAGAUGGGAUCUUACUGCAGGUUUAGCACCUCAACUACAAUGUUUUACUCCGUGACUCUUAAGUUUUCAUGAUUCUCAUUUUCUUUCUUCUGCGAAACUCUUGCAGGCUUUGAGAGAAGGUUCUUGGGUUUUGCUUGAUGAACUCAAUCUUGCACCCCAGUCUGUGUUGGAGGCAAAUUUCUCAUCCUGUUUUUCUCUGAUAUAUAUAUAUAUAUAUAUUAUUUUAUUUUUUGUUCUCGUAUUAUAAUAUGUGAUGCUCAUGAUUGCUAAUGGGGAAUUGAUCCUUAUCAGGGUUUGAAUGCUAUUCUGGAUCAUCGAGCUGAGGUCUUCAUACCAGAGUUGGGCUGUACUUUUAAGUGUCCACCCUCGUUCAGAAUAUUUGCUUGUCAAAAUCCUUCUCAUCAAGGUGGCGGCAGAAAAGGCCUUCCAAAAUCCUUUCUCAACCGUUUCACUAAGGUAUUUGUCCUUGAAUAUACCUGCAUGUGAAUCUGGUGCUUAUGUUAUUUGAAUCGAUGCUAAUCGAUGCCCGUUAAUUUGUUUCAGGUUUAUGUGGAGGAGUUGGUUGUUGAUGAUUAUCUUUUUAUCUGUAGCUCACUUUAUCCUUCAAUCUGUACAUCUCUGCUUUCAAAACUGAUUUUAUUUAAUAAGCGGAUGCAUGAAGAAACCAUGAUGCAUCGCAAGUUUGCUCUGGAUGGCUCUCCUUGGGAGUUUAAUCUACGAGACGUGCUUCGAUCCUGUCAAAUAAUAAAGGGUUUGAGCCACUUGCUUUCCUUGCCAUUUAUUCCUUUAAUAUUUUCUGGUUUCUGGUUUCUAAGAUGUUGUGUUCAAUCUCAGAUACACCCCCACUGUCCAAAGAUUAUUGCUUUCUGGAUGUUGUCUAUGUUCAAAGGAUGCGUACAGAAUCAGACCGAAGAAAAGUCCUACAGUUGUAUGAGCAGAUAUUUGAAAUGAAGCCAUAUAUAAAUCCUCAUCCACGGGUUCAGCUCAAUUCUCAGUUUUUGUAUGUUGGAAAUGCUGCUGUAAGGAGGAGUUGUGUUCAGUCACCUGCACUCCCUAGCAAUGCCCUUCAGAUUUUGCCUGAAAUUCGUCAGAGCUUGGAAGCAGCUGCAUGUUGUGUACAGCAUCAGUGGAUGUGUAUCCUGAUUGGUCCAGCUUCGUCGGGUAAGACCUCAUUGAUCAGGUUACUGGCGCAGCUCACUGGAAAUGUGCUAAAUGAAUUACAUCUGUCAUCCGGGACUGACAUAUCUGAAUUGCUUGGAUGCUUCGAGCAAUACAACGCCUUCCGCAAUUUGCGUUCAGUUAUUACUCAGGUCAAGUUCUGGGUAAAUGAGUUUUGCAGUUUGCAAUUGGAGUUGUCAAACGAAACUUUUUUAUCAAGCAUUAGAGAUGAUUCUGUAUCUAGAUGGUUUGCUUUAUUAUCGAACUUGGACGAGGACUCUGUUUCUUGUUUCACAUCUACUCGUGUGGAGGAGAGAGAGAAAUUUUCAAGCAUUCUCACUUUGUUGGUUAAGAUUAUGAAACAUUUAAAGCUGGUGUUGGAGAACAAUAACUUAUCCGUAAGUUGUUCAAGCAAAGAACUCAUUAAAGCCAUGAAGACAAUUUUCAAGUUGCAAGAAGGAUAUGAGAGACGGACAGCAAAGUUUGAGUGGGUGACAGGAGUACUAAUAAAGGCUGUAGAACGAGGGGAGUGGAUUGUCCUAGAAAAUGCAAAUUGUUGUAAUCCAUCGGUACGCAUGUUCUGCUUUGUUGAUGAAUCAUCUUUUCUCUUUGGUUACUUUGCUGUUGUCCUAUGUAGUAACAAAUUUACCAAUUCAUCAACGUUCACUUAUCUUUCUCAUCUGGUUUCUUUUCAUUUUAUAUUUUAGGUACUUGAUAGGAUCAACUCUUUGGUGGAACCCUCUGGAUCCAUUACACUUAAUGAGUGCGGGGUCAUUGAUGGAAGGCCAGUUGUUUUGCAACCACAUUCUAAUUUUCGUGUGUUCCUCACAGUUAACCCAAGGUUUGGUGAAGUCUCCCGAGCCAUGAGGAACAGAGGAGUUGAAAUAUUUGUGAUGCCACCAUAUUGGCUAAUGAAUGAGAAUUUGAGAAGUCGUGGAAGAAUUGAACUAAAUGAUGUGAAAAGAUUUCUCGUUCUAUCUGGUAUUCCCUUUGCUAAAUUGGUCUGUGCGAUGGCUGAAUCACAUAUGUAUGCUAAAGAGGAAGGAUUACGUUUUAACGUGUGUAUAACAUAUCUUGAGCUUUCACGCUGGGUUCAGUUGUUUCAACAACUUCUCAAGACUGGCAGCCACCCUUUGUGGAGCUUACAAACAAGUUGGGAACAUAUAUAUCUUAGUUCAUUUGGUGACGCCAUUGGUGAAAAUGUUAUCUAUCAUGUGAAAAGUACAUAUUUAUCCGUUAGCGACUUGUGUGAAUCUGGCUCGUCACUGUCUCCAUAUUUGUGUUUGCCUGGAGGAUCGCCCAUGUCUAUGAAGCCCAGGGAUCUUGUGUGGCACUCAAAAGAAUCUUUUGUGAUGAAUAACUGCAUGUACCUAGAGUACCUGGGGGCUAAGUAUGCAUCUUACAAAUUACAUCUAGCCAGGAACAGGUGCUCUGUUUACCAGGAUUCAACUUCCUGUGGAUUUGUAGGGUCUUACUUGAUGGGUAUGAAGAUGAUGUCUGAAACUAUGAUUCAUAAGGCUCCCGGUUGUAAUUCUGUAACCCAUAGGCAAGAUGCCAUUAUUGACCAGGCAUUGGCUAGGGUUGAGAAAAAGCUAUUGUUUGCUGCCAACUGGGCGUUUGAACAGGCUACUGAAAGUGAUGUUAAGCUCUAUCUUCUGUAUUUUAGCUGGUUUCAAUCUCAAUUACAGCCCUUCUGUGACUUCUUUGAUUCCUUGGUGAAGUCGGUUAUGCUCACCAUGGAGCAUCAGAUUUGGAAAUACGCUCACCAUGUGCUUACAUCGCUUCACGAAGAAGAGUUUAAAAAGCAGCUAGAGCCGAUGCUAUAUUUUGAAUUAGUUGAUGUGCCCGAAUCGCAAGAUUCCAUCAAGUUUCUCCACAACGCCAUGUGCUGUAUAAUGCCACUGAGGGUCAGUUAUCAACAGUGGAAUUCUGAGGAAAGCUACUUUUGUGAAAAAGAUAGCUGUUUUAAGGAAGUUCUAAAAUCUUUGCGGAAGUUGGAGGAGCAAUUUCUCAAUAGAUUCUUUGAUUUGUCUCUCAUCAAGUCUCCUUCUUUCGAUGCACUUAUUGGGAUGUACACUGACCUUCUUGAAGAUCACAUAUUAUUUUGGGAUGGUCUUGAGUCAUCUGAAUUUGAGCUUUCGCUCCUUUCCUGGCAUAUGGUACUAAAGGGUGCUACAAAAUUGAAGGAUUUCUGUCCAGAAGCAGUAGAUGGUCUGCUGGUAGGUUGAAUAAGCUGUGCUGUUAUUAUUUCUGUAAUGUACCUUGAGCUUGAAUUUUUCUGGUUUUCUGAUAUAGAAGGAGAGCAACAAUCUGGAAGCUAUCUCUUCUUGGCGAUUUCACUCAGAGAAGUCUUUGCUCUGGAUUCAUGGUGGUCAUCCUAUAUUGCCACGUUCUGCUAAAAUAUUUGAAAAGCAAAUCCUGAUUUCAGAGCUUUGCGAGUCAGUAUGGCCAACAUCACCAAAAUUAUUGGGGCAUGGUAAUAUAAUUUCUUGUUUCUUUUGUCAACGAGACUUUUUAGUUGAAAUAAAAUGGUCAUGGGUGUUUUUUUGUUACAGUUGAUGAUCCUAUUGGCUUUGUUUCGUCGGAUAUGCGCUCCCGUGUCCUGGAAGGUAAAAUAUCCUAUUUGCGAUUUAUUCAUUGAUGUACCAGCUCAAUUUCCUAAUAACAUUUGUUAUUCAUGUAGGUGUUUCCAUAACGUCAUGCAUAACUGGAAAAUCUGAUUCUGCUGAGGAUGAUGACCACCUUUUUAUGCAGUUGGAUGCCAUUUAUCAGGUUUUGGCUCCUCAUAUGUAUCAUUUUGUUUGAUCAAGAGAAAAGAUGAGCACAUUAAUCUGUCAAUACUGUGUUAAUGAAAACAUUUUUACCCCUAUGCAGAAGCUCCUGCAAAUGUUUGAAAAGCAAAGAAUCAAAUCGAAGGAGAUUUCAUCCUCUAGCAAGCGUUUCCCCAGAUCGAAUUCAUCUAUAUGUUGUUCUUAUUCAAAUGAAUCAUUAGGCUACGCAUCUGGGUAUGAUACUUGGCAGGACACUUCUCCCCUUGUUGACAGUACCAGUUUUGCCUUGGAUGUGAAGCUACUUCUGGAGCUAUCACAUGUUCUUUUAACUGAUCCCAAAAGAAUGCAGCAAGUAAGAUCAUCUAUAUUGCUUUACUUUGUCCGCAUAUAUACCUAUAAGCUAUAUAUGUAUCCGGUUUCUUAAGUCCUGACUUAAUUUGAACAAUUUGGUAUUUUUGACCCCCUACGGAUAAUAUCAAAUGUUUGUUUGAGUACAGUCGUUGAACUUAGGGAUACCCAAUUCCUUUGGGGGUUUUGCUUUUCAAGUUCCUUUUAUAUCAACAGCAUUUCGAACCCAAAAGAGAGGUUGUUACCUUUGAAUACAAAGCUCUUAUUGCAUUUCUAUAUCAAUUGUAUACUUUUCUGUAAAUGAUAGGUUUUAGCCAAUGAAUCUGGCCAUCUGAAGUAUGCUUUGGAUUUCUCAUUGAACUACUCAUCAAGAGCGCCUCAAGUGUUUUCGCCACAUCAAAAGAUUUUGUGGAUACUGGAUGUGUGGAGUUUGGUGGAUGCAGGUAAAUGAAUUUUCUGUUAAAUUAAUCAGUUGUGCUGGCAUCUGUACCCUUACACAUUUCCUUGUGUUGUAGCACAUGUAAAAAUGGCCAGUUUUGUGCUCGAACUGUGGUUCAGGUGGCAUCAAUCUUUGUGGAACUAUUGCCCUCUUUCAGUUAAGGUAUGGAUAUCAAAUUAUUCUAUUGUAUUGUCAUAGUAUUGAUAUAUUUCAUUGAUGGACUUCCUAUUGUGUACAGAGUUUCUCAAGCACUGAUGAUUAUAAUAUUCCAGUACCUGAUGUGCUCCUUCAACCUGUGGUAACAGCAACGGUCUUCCAGAUAAUGUAAGAUGUUUAUUUCUCUUUCCAGGAUUACUGAUUCUCCUAUUUGAUUGGAAAAAUAUGCAUGCAUGUUAGGAUUACUUAUUCAAUCAUAUGAAUAGAAAUGGAUGCAAAAUAAUGCAUGCAUGCUUGCUUGUUGUGUAACCGUAUUGUAGAUUUUCUUAUUAAUGAUCGCUUGUAUCUGUACAAAGGAUUUGGAAUGAAUAUAUAAUCACAUUGGGAUAAAGCUAAUGCUUUUCAACAAAAAGAAAAUAGUUAUUCAACUGCUAGCUUGUUUGGCUCAAAGAACUUUGCGGUUAUCCUGUGGUUUCAAGUUUAAAGUUUUGCCCAAAUGGGAGCUGCUUUCUCUUCAUUAUAUGCACAAUGUUUGAAGUCUUGUGCAUGAUAUUUUACAAGUCAUGCAUUCUUUUGGUGUAUCUGAAAUAUAAAAGUUUCAUAACACUGUUUGGUGUGCAAUAUAGGCAAAGCAGCACGUCUGCUAUUCAGGAUUAUUAUGCAGGUUCUCUAAAGCUUAGAGUUGCAUCAUCUAAUCUUUGGUAUAUCUCACACCCUGGAGUGGAUUUACCUGGUUUUCUACUAUCUACUGCCCACUCGUUGUUCCAGCAGGUAGACCAAUUUUUUCUAUGACUUCCUCUGUAUCUUUUGUUUUCAAUUAUAAGAAUUUAUUUGUAUAAUACCAUUAUUCAAACAAUUCAAACAAUUUAUUUGUUUAGUAGCAUUUUCAAAUGAGAUUCCCUCCAUCUGAAUCUUCUGGCCCCUUGCAGAUUGUAUACGCGCAUGAAAGAUCUUUUGAUGCUGACCACUUUGCUGAAAUUAAGUCUGUAUUUGAGGUAUGUUGUUUAACGAGAGAGUAGUCAAUCCAUGCUGUUGGGUGAUGCUUGUAUAUUGGUUUUGCAUUCUGCUUUUACCUCUUUGAUGUUUCAUAGAUGCUGCAAUUGUUCAUAUGGUUAUCUGCUUUUAUGUAGUUUUAACUGGUGUACACCAUGAUUCCUAUAUGUAGAAAGUAUUGUACUCCAAUCAUAUUGAUUCCUCUACAUUCUCUUAUGGUAACAGAAAGGAAACUUUCAUCUGGAUUCUCUUCUUUUAAAGUCAAGACACACUGCAAUAAAAGAGCCAAUGGAAAAUUUUAUCCAGCUUCUGGGAUCCCUUAUUUCAGAAUCAAGUCAUCACGGGCUGAAAAACUCUGUGAAUAAGUUUAUCAAGCCACUGCUUCAUAACCUGUAUCUACCGCAUUGCUUAUUGAAAGGUCAUCUUUUGUCUUUUACCUGUUUUGUUCAUGUAAAUUUUUAAUUUAUAGCAAGCAUAUUUAUUCAUCAGAGAGGAGUGGAAAGAAAUAAAAGAUUAUUUGAAACCUAUGGCGAGGUGGAGGGAAAACCUAUCGCGUAGGAUUUUAAGGAUUACAAUUUUUCUUCCAUUAUCCUCUACUUGCAAGCAGCUGUAGUAUAAGCCCCUAUGUUUUGGCAUUAAUAGUUGAACUGCUAAAGCCUCUAGUCGUUGCUGCCCUCUUUAGCUUUUUAAACGGUUUCCUUGUCCAUCUCCUUGUACUUUAUUUUUUGUUUCAAAAAAGGCUGUUUCUUUUAAAAAAAAAUGCAAGCUUAUUUGCCUAUUGGUCAAAAAUGUCAUAUCUGUUUUGUGGUUACUUUCCUUCUUUCCACAGCGUUUUCUUUUUUAUCUUGUUGUUGACUUGCUUAUUUACUGUCUGACUCCAGAUUCUCACUUUAAUCAUGGUUGUGCUUGGUUGCGGCUUGGGAUAUUACGUUUUACACUGCUUUGCUGUGAUGAUAUGGAUCCUGCCAUGAAAUACUAUUACAAGCAUUUACAGAUAGCAGAAAAGAUCUCUUUGCUGAAACUUGAAACUCAGGUUGCUCUCCAUGCAUUAUUCUUCUUUUCAAAUAUAACUAGCACUCUAUGCAUGUGUUUGGACAUAAAUGUGCACUGUUCACUUGGCUAUGCUAUGUUUUCAUGAUCAAAGUAAACGUUUAUAAUUCUUUUUAUAGGUGCGUCAAAAAUGUGAUUAUUUGGCUGGGCAUACCGGUCACAGAGAAUCUGAUGAAAAAAGGGUACAGACAUUGAAAAAGCUUGAAGUGGAGCACAAAAAGCUGCAGAGAAAGGUUUUGAUUUUAUAUUCUGUUUGGUUACCUUGUGGUCUAAAUUUCUACGUGUUAGAUGAGCAAUGGUCUCUUCUGGAUCUCAAUUGAACAGCAGUUCACAUCUUGAUUUCCUUUUGAGUUUUGUGCAAGGCAUUGGGCAAUGGGAAUAAGUAAAAAACUUUUUGGAGUUGUGUUGAUAGCUUUUUUUGGUUAUUGGGAUGUUGCGGCAUAGCAGAAUUUACACAUGGGAUUAAUAGAUGGAGUUAAAGAUGGUCAGCUUUAGGGUCUUCAGUUACUACAGAUUUUAAUGUGUGCAUCAUGCGAUAUGCUGGCCGUUGGAGUAUGACAUCGGUACUCUGUUUGGUUUUUGGACAUGAAUGUUCAUUAAAUUUCUCUGGUUGUCGACCAGUAUCAUUUUUUUUUUAUGAUACUAAAAAACAAAGAUACCAGUGAUCUUGAAAAGAGGAGGGGAAUAACAGUCUGUUACACUUUUUGGUAAUAGUAUGCUGCAGUUUCUUCUCUUAGUUGUCUCUUUGCUUUUAACUAAUGGUAAAUUUUUUGGUGCUUUAGAUCAUUUUCCGCUCGGACUUUCGGAAAUUUAAGGGGUUAAAACAUGAAUGCGAUAAAUUUCUAGAUCGUGUCACCUCUGAUGUGUUUUUUCAACAUGUUACAAAUGAUAAGGCCUCCAUGAAUUCACAACAGCUUCUUGACCAAGGUUCUAACUGGCAGGUAUGUUUAUGAAUGCAUUUGUUGAUAAUCAUUUUUUUUCCCCCUUCUAAGCUGCUGCGCUGUUCUAAUCACUAAUUCUGUUUGUAUUAUGUUCUCAGAAAAUGACAGCUGGUUUUAUUGAACAACUGUUAUCAGAGAAGUAUGUCGAGUACAGUGACUUUGUUCAACCAAUUCUGGUUGCAUUAUAUGAAAUGAAGUUGGGCUUAUCACUGAUUCUUGCUAGUAUAAAGCAAAACCGAAUCUUGAAUAGAGUUCAGCUGGGCAAUACGAAUAUGAUUUUGGUACUUCUUGGACAUUUUUAAACAUCUUGUGGCUUCACCUUAUUGGUCUUGUGGCAUCUGACCAGAAAUUCUUGCCUUCAUGCAGGGAUCUAUUUAUUCAUUCAUGAGGUUCCCUAGGGUAGCUUCUUCCAAGACCAUUUCUGUCAACAUAAGCACCGGUUCCAGUGAUUUUCCUUCUUUUAAUUUGGAAAUUCCUACAGCCUUCAGUGCUGAGGACAUAGGUCUUCUCGAGAAGUUGCUUACCUUUUCAAGCGAUGUUGGGUCUAAUAAUCGAGUAAGAUAUUGUUCACACAUCAUUUUUUGUUCUUUCAGUGUUCUCCCUCUUAAAUUUGGCUGUUUCCUGCUGAUUAUUUAUUUAUUUAUUUUUCUUGUUCUGUAUUAUGAUUAUCGAUUGUCAGAAGUGAUUUAGACAUGUUCCUAUAUGUAGCAGGUAUCUGCUACACAACUCAAAGGUGCUCUGUAUCAAAACAUUCUUGUGCGUGUCGCCCACUUUGUAACCAAUGCAAGAGUGAUGGAUUGUGAAUCUUUUAAGGUCUGUCUUCUCUUUUUCUUUGUCGAUGUUCUUUUGGUAUCUCUCUUGAAUUUGCUGGCAUCAAUUAUGCAUCGUGUGUUGUGAAUCAGCUAUUGGAAAAGAUAUUCAGUGAAUCUGCCAAGCAUUGGAUGAGUGCAAUGAUUCACAUGAAAGCCAAACAAGACCAUGCUUCUCAGCAAUACAAGUUUAGGGCUCGUGCCUUUAAGCUCGAGAGUAUAAUUGAACUAAAUAUAUCAUCUCUCGAGAAGUCGUUAGCUAAUGAAAGUUUCUCAGAAUGGAAGGAUUUUCUUGCUGAAGAGGUACACGUUUUAUUUGUAUAUGUUUUCAAGGAGUUCUGCCUGAAUGUACCGUGUUUCUUACCUUUCCUUUUGUUCCAUAAAAACUCAGGAGGAAGUUUUGAAGGAACAAGGGAACUCAGAGGAAGAACUGAAUUAUAUAGAGGAUGCUUGCGUGAAAGAUGUAGUUGAAAUUCACAAUCAGUUAUUCGGGACAAGUGAUCUAGUCAAAGCGGUAAGAAUUUUGAGAAAGUCGAAGGAUUUUUUUUUUCUUUUACGGCUGAGAAUUUCCCUUCUAAUUUUAAAACAAAAGUUCGUGAUUGUUAUGUUAAGUUUUUAAUUGAUCCAACUAAAUUAUGAAUAAAAUAGGACUUCCUUUUCAUCUCAUAGGGUUUUGAGCUCGCAAAACCUGAGAGGAUUUUAGCAAGGAACAAAUUGUUUCCAUGCAUUGUUAUCAGUUCCAGUUCCUGUUCUGCAAUAAUAUCAUUUUGAAUGAAGCUCUUUGUUUGAUUUGAUAAUGAUUUGAUUCCUAUGCAAAAGUAGUGUCUUGGGUCCUCUUGUUUUCUACCACUAAAUCUCUCAAUGCUGUUAGAACUUCUAGGUUUUCUAAUGUUUUAAUUUCAGCCGGGUCAUUAUCUCAUCCAAGAUUCGGAUAGAGCGCGUUCGUUCACUGCUUCACAUACACUUGGAGUAGAGAUGCUUAAAGGUAUGCUGUCGAAGAUUCCCUUUUCUGGUUGGAUGUGGUUAUACUCCUUGUUUGUAUGUGUUUACUCUCUUCUAUUUCCAGGUUUAGGGUGUUCGUUCCUUGCUAGUGUGGAUGCCAAAUUGGUGCCCGAGAACUUGUUUCGUAUUUGUUUGGAGCAUGAGCAGAUGUUCAGUUCAUCUCACAAAUCAUCCUUCAGAUACAAUUUUUACAAGGUGUGGAUACAUUAAAGUACUAUGGAAAAUUUACUGAAGUUGUAUCAUAUAUUGAUUUAUCUUGUUUUGUGAUUCCAUCCCUAUUGUAGGAUCCAAAUCCCACAACGAUGUAUGAAAUGGUGGAAGCACUUGUCCCUCUUCAGCAGCGAAUUUAUUCCCUUCUAAAUGAAUAUGAAGAUCAUCCACAGCUUCAGAAAAUAUUGGAUAUAAUUGAAAUGCUUUUGAAGAUUACUUCGCACGCCCCCUUAGCUAAGGUAUUGAUAUUGGUACUGUCUUUUAAUCAUGUAUUAAGAAGGGGCUCGGUAUCUUUAUUGUAGGGAUAUACUUAAUGUUUGUCUGGGAUUGCUGUGUGUUUGUGUUCUGCAACUGCAAGUCUGCAUGCUUGUUUUUGUUGCUAAUUAUCUUAUGUGGAAUCUGGAAAGUAUUCAGCUGUAUAAAAUUUUUAUUUUCUUUUCCAGCCUCUCUCAGGAUUGCAAUAUCUGGUUAGAUGUCUUGAUUCAUUACAAGAUGGCUCAAAGUUCUCUUUUGCUGGUAUUAGUUCUUGCUCAAUAAGUUGUUUUUUUUUUCUUUCCUCGAAUUUCUGUGUUGUGUACUAUGUUUUUCUUGUGAAUUCUUAUAGAUCAAGUGAAGAACCCCAUUUAUGAUGUGGUGAUCUCAUGGAGAAAGUUGGAGUUGGGGUCAUGGCCAGCAUUGCUUGACGAAGUGCAGGAUCAGUUUGAGAUUAAUGCUGGAAAGGUAAAUCCUCGAGUGGGUCAGUCUGGCUAAUUACAUUUAUGAAUGUUGGAUUAUGUUGAAAUGCAGUUGGCUAAGAGCUGAGAUUGUCUACAGGGUUCUGGUGAAAUAAUAAACCCGAUAACCUUAAAUUUGCACAAUGUGUUAGUCUUCUCUGUGUCGUUUUAAUUCACAUUUCAAUUUUUUUUAUAUAUCCAAAUAAUGUUCAGAUUUUACUAUUUAGCUGGGGGAAGUCUGUAGCAUAAUAUAUACAUUAGUUUCUCUCUUUCGAUUGUGAACUUUUUGUGUUGGUAUCAUAGCUGUCCCCGAUUUAAGUAAUGAAUUAUGCACUCCAAAUUUAUUUGAAAUUUUUGCAGUUGUGGUUUCCUCUCUACUCAGUUCUUCGGAAGCGAACUUCUCCUGAUUCUGCUGUCUAUAAAUUAUGUACUAUCCAGAGGUAGGUUAAGAGUAACUAAUUCUUUGAAUAUUUGAGCUGCUAUAUGUAGAAAACUUUUUCUUAGUCUUUGAGGUGUGUCAUGCUGUUAUAACUUUACAGUGUGGAGGAUUUCAUUCGCACAUCCAGCAUAGGUGAAUUUAAAAGAAGACUUCAACUUCUUUUCGCGUUCCUCGGCCAAAUAAAAGCUGGCGUGUGCCUGGAAGUUUACUCAAGGUAGAAUUAUGAAUAAUUCAAAGAUUCCUUGGUGUUUGAUUAGAAACAAGCAAUCAUGAAUGAACAUUUUACCUCUUCCCCACGGUUACAUUGCUCAACUAACUGGUAAUAAAUUUUGCAGUUAUUAUGAAAAGGAAAACGAGGAAAUUUUGUACAAUGCGUUUGGGUAUUACGUGCAAUUCUUACCAAAGUGAGUUGCUUAUAGUUUGACACAUUAAUUUUACUCUCCNNNNNNNNNNNNNNNNNNNNCCCCCCCCCCCCUCCCCCCCUCCUCCCUCCUCCCUCCUCUCCCUCCUCUCUCCUCUCUCUCUCUCUCUUGCUCACAGGGACAUUGAUAUAGAAUCUUUUUGUUUUAGAAUUCUUGCACACAUAGAAUCUGGUAGAAGUGUAAUUGAGAAGAAACUUAAAGAUCUUCUCAAGCCAUACCACUGGGAGCUUCAUGAGAGUUCUCAGGACACCAGGAACGUUAUUGAGAAGAAACGUGCCAAUCUGAUGUCCAUUGAUACCUGCAAAGCAAAAAGGCAGAAGCUCAGGAAGAUUAUACAGGAGUACGCAGUAAGUACACAUGAACUAUCUUGUUUCAUUUCUAAUAUGUGCUUGAAAUCAUUUUACAUACAAUGCAAAAUACUUGAUUAGUGAUUCAACCGGCGGUGGUCCUCAAACCUAAACUAGUAACUUGAUGAUUUGUCCCCAUAAAAAUGAUUUUGAUUGGAUUUUGCUAAUCACAUAUUUUACAUGGGAAGUAAUGUAAGAGUUAACGAUGCAGAAAUUCUAAUAUUGGAAGUGUUUUUUUAUCCAUUUAUGGCGUAAAGUAGUCUGAUAUAUUCUGUUGUCUCAUCGUGGUUUAUUCACUUGCUAACUUGUGAAGGUGACAAGACUCCCUAGUCAAGUGCUUUCACAGUUUCACACAUUAUUGGAAGGAGCAAUACUAAUCAUGUAUCUUGAUGCCCAUAUAGGUUCUGCUGGAACAACCUGUUAUUGUCUUCCUUGAGCAAGAUGGUGCUAAAGGAACUGAAACUUGUUCUCAUCCAGGUCAGAGUUCCGUCAUUGAUAAUGUGAACAAAAAGAUUAAGUUGAUGGAUCCUGCUUUUGAUUGGACUGUUAUCAAUGAUGAAGACAGGUAAUUCUUGUUUCUUAUUUGAUUAUUGCCUAUGCUUCAUUUCAAAAUGCAACCAGUCGUCUAAAGUUUUAGCAUGAUUACUUUGUAAUAGGUGUAUGUGGUAUACUAGUUGGGUCAAGAAAGCAGAUGCUGCCCUGCACAAAUUACAGUGCGGUACCUUAAUUGAGUUUGGACAUACAGAAUCUGAAGGUGCUGCUAAUUAUUUUGUUUUCUAUUUUUUUUCUUUCUCUUUUCAUUGUUGCAUAUAUAAUGUAGUUAGAUUUAAGGUCAUAGUAACUCAGAAAUCUGCUCAGUGGUUACAGGAAUCCCAAAUCAAUGGAGUGCUGUGUGGGACACACUUCAAAGAAUAAUUAGGAAGGCAAUGGAUUGUUGUGAGUUGUGGAAGGAUGCAAACAAGAGUCAAAAGAAGGCGCGAAGUUUUUCUGACCUUCUAAAUCUAUUAAAAACCAGUGGUUUAUCUAGAGAUGUAUUUACUGAGGUAUGAAUGUUAUAUGGUAAUGUUUAUUUGUUUGUCUGGAGGAGACUUCAUCUCAUUCUUUACGCUAAUUGGCUUUACUGUUUGCAUUUGAUAGGAUGAAGUUAAUUCUUGGUGGUUUGUUGAACCAUCAUCCGAUGGUCAGCAUUUGCUGCUAAUGCAGAGUAGACUGCCCCAUCAUUCUGAUACACUUCUUCCAAGCAACUUCCAACGUUCUUCCCAUCAGAAUUUAGUUACAGAAUGGAGGAUGGCCAACACAUACUAUUUCACCAGUGUAGAAUCUGUUCUUUUCACUCAACAACAGGUAAAUAUGCACCAGCUUUCAAAAGGAGGCUUGAUGUUCUUCUCCCCAGUCUUUGUAAAUAUACAUCCGCAACAUUUUGUUAAUAUUUGACACUAUGCAGGUUGGUAUGCCAGACCCUUAUCUGCAACAGUUCAUCAAAAUACAACAAGAUCAACACCGAGCUGCUAAUAAGUUUACAGAGAAUUUAAGGCGUUUGAAGGAAUGUAUUUCUACUUUUGAAAAUUGUAUUGCUUUUGAUGAUGGAAAUGGUAGCAAGUGCUCUAUUGGUCAAAAUCAACAUGCCACGUUGAGAUGUAUGUGGCAGCAGAAGGUAGUUCCUUAACUUAUUGGGAUUUAACUAUCCAUUUAUUUGAUUUGUUUUGACGUUACUCAAAAUGUAUAUCUUGUUACAGCAACUGUUUGAUAGUCUGUAUGACAUGACCCAAGAUGAGGUUUUGUUGCUCAAGAUACUUGAGAAUACCCAUUUAAACACAUGUCAUACUAUCAAGAAUGAAGUGAAUGAGUUUGUUGCUUCUGUGGAGAAGUUUAUUCCAGCGCUCCAAAAGUCCAAGGUUUGUGUUUCUGUUCCCUGUGUGUUCUAGACUUUUACUGAAAAUGUGGUAGCUUUCUCACGAAUUCCUUGCACAACAUAACAGGAAUCCUUGGACAAUUAUCUUCUUGGCCCAGAGAGAACAAUUCGACCUUCACAAUCCAUCAUUAUUUCAAAGCAGAUGGAAAAAUUGGUCAUUCAAAAUUUUGAGGUUAUUAGGCAGUUUGAGGCUCAUCUUCUUGCUUGCCAUGUCCAAGAUGUAAAAAGCUCUGUUAAAGAUAUUUUGCUCCAUCAUCUUUUGGAAAUAUGUGAGAAGGUAUUUCUGAGUUUGUCCUUACUCUAAGAUGAUCUUAUCUAAUAUUGUUGGUAUGACAAAUGAAACUUUUAGAUCAGAUUUGGUACUCAACAUUGUUACAUUUAUUGUUUUUCAGGUGAAAUUGUUGGAACGUGUAUUUCAUUCAGCGAUGGACAAGAAAAAGGAUUCAAUCAGUGAACAUGAUAUGCAUGAUUACCGUGAGAAAGAUGCUGCAUAUCAGCAAACCCUAAGAAGUACAUUCGAACAUAUUGUGGGAGCAAUGCAGAAAUUGGGUUCAUCAUGUAAUGGGCAGGUUCAUCUGGACAAGUCUUUGGGGCAAAUUACGUCCUGGGAAGAAAUAUUUGACAUAUUUGUUGAAAAUAUGAGCUUGGACCAAUUAUGUAACAAGCUUCUAAGAACAAUUUUUUCUGCGGUGAGUUCUAUCACAUCUACGUUUUGUUUAUUUGUUACCUCUUGAUGAGUAUCCAAUAAAUCAUCUUAUGUGCUAUCUACAGGAAAAGUUGGUGAAUCACAGGGGUGGUGAAUCUAGCAGUCUACUUGUCCGAGUUGAUGCUGAUUUUAAGCAGCUACGUCUGUGUUUGGACAUUAUCUUGGAUUUUGGCCAUGCUUUGUUAAAAGAACUUUUGGCUAUGCGGAGAACUGUAAGUUGGUCUGACCUGCAUGUUCAUGUUGAGUAUAUCGCAAAUGCGAUCAGCAUAAUGCUGCCACUUGUUUGUCCUUUGGCUGCCACCUUCCCAUCAGCAUAAUGCUGCUCACGGAGACUGUAUUAUGCACUGUUUACCAUUAUCUUCAUUGUGUUAUGUUAUUAUUGCCGCCCCCCCCAAAACACACACACACACACAUAUCAAACCAUGCCUUUGACCAACUGGCAAUCCCACAUACAAAAGCUUCACUUAAACGGCUAAAUGCCAGUUGAUCAACCCAGCUAGUGCUGGCCUUAGUUUCAUUGUUUUACGUUAUGGUUGUCCAAACUAUAAUAGAGAUUAAUGUUGUAUCAAAUAGUACUUGUGUGGUUCUUCAGUUUCUUAUCUUAAAUAUUUACGCUUGUGCACAGGUAUCUCUAACGACUCAUAUACUCGCGAAUCUUCUGGCUUUAUCUUCAAAUGGUCCCACAAUAUCUCCCGAGGACAAUGUGGAUGAUGCUACCCGUGAUAUUUCUCAAGAACAAGAUGGAACAGGUAUGGGGGAGGGUGUAGGACGGACUGAUGUCAGUGAUCAGAUUACGAAUGAAGACCAGUUGAUUGGGGCACCAGAAAAGGUAUUGAUUUGGGCACUUGAUAGAUAUUUUUGUUUUUUAAAAUAUUAGUGGGUUGCGUUGAAAAGUUAUUAAUUUUUGGUUUUCAUUUUUCAGCAGCCCAGUGACGAAAAUGAUGCCCCAGGUCAAGCCCCAAGUAAAGAUGAUAAAGGGAUUGAGAUGGAGCAGGAUUUUGACGCUGAGAAAUCCAGUGUCAGUGAUGACUCUGAAGAAGAUACAAAUCCAAAAGAUGAUGAGGAUGAUGAGCAAAUAGAGACUGAAGUCGGACCGACUGGGGAAGAUGGUACAGAUGUUGAUGAGAAACGGGGGAACAAGGAUGAAGAUGAAAAUCUCAAUAAAGCAGAUGAGAAGUAUGAACCUGGGAGUUCAGUUGUUGAUAAAGAUGCUAGCUCUAGGGAGCUUAGAGCUAAGGAAGAUAAUGAUGCUGUUAAUAAACUGGGAGAGCUUGAUGAUGAUGAACUUGAUGAACCGGAGGGUGAAACUGGAAACCAGGAUGACCCUGUGGAGAAUGGAGAUGAGAGGAACCUCGAUAAACAAAAAGAUAUGGAAUGUACAGAAUUAAAUCCUGAUGGUCCUAAUGAUCCUGAUGGGAUGGAUCCAGAUUCUGCUGGAGAAAUGGACAUCGAUGAUCCUGAAGUGCAUGAUGAUGAUGAGAAUAUUAAGCACGAUGACAACCUUGAAUGUCCAACCGAUGAAAACAUGAUAGAAGCAGAGGAAAAUGUAAAAGAAAUAGAUGCAACCUCAGACAUGGAGGACUCUGGUGGAGAUAUGGAAGAUACUGAGAGGAAUUCUGGAAUGAGAAAAGAUGCGUUCGAACCAGGAUUAUCUGACUCCAUCGGUGGUAAUGAGCCUAAUGCAGAAUCUUCAACCCAACCAAAGGGUGACUCAAAGACAUCAGAUGCAGGGGAUGUAGCACCAGAGUCAACCUGGACAACUAGCAAUGAAGUCAAUAAUGAACUCACAUCAAUCAAUGGUUUACCUUCCAGUAAUGCAUCUGAGAUGAAUCUGAUGACCUCUGACUCAUCAAAUAAUGGCAGAAAUGCUGGUGAGCUGCCAAAAGGUCAACAGCCUAAGCAGGAAAUGCCAUCUGUUUGUAAAAGUCAACCAAAUCCUUACCGUAGUAUUGGGGAUGCACUGAAGGAGUGGGAGGAAAGAGUUAGUGUGUCUGUAGAUCUUGAGGUGGGUGAUCUAGAGCCACAGGGUGAUAUAGAGAAUGAAAAUGUGGAAGAGUUUGGAUAUGUUAGGGAGUAUGAAGAGGGGACGGCUCAGGCUUUGGGUCCUGCAACAUCAGAGCAGAUUCACAAGAAUGUUUCUGGUAAUAAGACCAGUGAAGAUGGUAUUUCAACACACAAAGAUGAUUCCGUUGUGAAGGAAAUUGAGAAACAAAUUCAAACAAUCCCUAACAGGAGUUCUGACUCGAUCCUUAAAAAUAAGGUAGAGGAUCCGAGGGAUCUUUCUGGUCCAGAGAAAUCGCCUGGUGAGGGAUCUCAGCGAAAUCAUGAUGAUGAUAAGCCUGAAAGUAUGGUCGAGGAUGUGGUUUCUAUGAAGAAAUCAUAUUUGAGUGAUGACAUACAUCAGCUCAGUAAACUUUCCGUAGAUGACGAUGACAUGGGGAAGGCGCAAGAUCUUGGCGAGGUUUCUGAUGAAGCUACAAAGAAUGCUACUGCUCUCUGGAGUAGAUAUGAGAGGGUCACAACAAGGUUGUCCCAAGAGUUGGCUGAACAAUUGCGUCUAGUCAUGGAACCUACAGUGGCCAGCAAGCUUGAAGGGGAUUAUAAGACUGGGAAACGGAUUAACAUGAAGAAGGUAAAUGAAAGAUAGCCCUUUCUGGAACGGCUUUGUGUUUUUGCAUAUUUUGUUGAUUUUUCGUGUAAUAUUAUGUUUAUUUAUUAGGUGAUUCCCUACAUAGCAAGUGAGUACCAGAAAGAUAAAAUAUGGCUGAGACGGACCCGCCCUAAUAAACGUGAUUAUCAAGUUGUCAUUGCUGUUGAUGAUUCCCGCAGCAUGUCUGAGAGUUGCUGUGGGGAUGUUGCUAUCGAAGCUCUGGUGACAGUUUGUCGUGCAAUGUCACAACUGGAAAUGGGCAACCUUGCUGUUGCAAGCUUUGGAAAGAAAGGCAACAUAAGGUUGCUGCAUGACUUUGAUCAGCCCUUUAAUGGAGAUGCUGGAGUUAAGGUCGGUACCUUUAAUAUCAGCUUAUGAUCUUUGAUAGUAACUUUUGGGGAUGAACCUGAAUUUACUUUUUUGAUGGUGCAGAUGAUCUCUGGUUUCUCAUUCAAGCAAGAAAAUACUAUUCUUGAUGAACCAGUUGUUGAUUUGUUGAAGUUUGUGAACAACAAGCUAGAUACAGCUGUUGCAAGAUCAAGACUCCCCUCUGGACGAAAUCCACUACAACAGCUUGUUUUGAUAAUUGCAGAUGGUCAUUUACACGAGAAGGUAACUUCCAUUUUUGCUCUUUAGACUGGCCAACAAGCUAUUAGUGCGGCCCGUCUUUUUUCUAUUUUCAAUGUUUCUUUAUAACACAGUUAAAACUUCACCUGUGCAGGAGAGGUUGAAAAGUUGUCGUUAGGGAUGCCUUGGCUAAGAACCGCAUGGUUGCAUUUCUGCUUGUUGAUAACCCACAAAACCCACAGAACUCGGUCAUGAACAUCCUCGUAAGAAUCUAAUACUUCCUUUUCAGUUUCGUAGUUGUACAUUUUUCUAAAACAAAUUAAUUUGUUUUGUCAAGUGGGUGUAAUUCCAGUAUUUACUUUUGUACUGUCCUACAGGAAACAUGUUACGAGGGUGGGGAGGUCAAGUUUACAAAGUACAUGGAGUCUUUCCCCUUCCCAUACUACAUUGUAUUGAGGAAUAUUGAAGCACUGCCUCGGACUCUUGCUGAUUUACUGAGACAGGUAAGCAUAAAAACCUGUUGCAUAUUUUGCACGCAUACGUGGUUCCAAUUGUCUGAAAUCUUCUACCUGUGCUUUGCAGUGGUUUGAGCUCAUGCAGCAGAGAAGGGACUGAGAUCCAAGCAACGCGACUGCGAUCCUUGUUAAUCAACGAAAACGAAGAUUUUGUAUAGUAGAUGAUGAUACCUUGGUGUAUGUGAAACACCUACCAAAGAAAUACUUGUACAGGAAACUAUAUCAUUUACCAUCUUAUCAUCAAUGAAUAUUAGCACUAGUCUUGUCUUCCUCCCGUUUUACUACAUUCUUUUACAGUUUUACCUCCCUACACCACCUUUCUCAGCCCACACGAAUGUCUUUUAUAUUUAUAAAAUAUAUUUUAUUUUGUUGAAUUGGAUAAGAUCUUACACGUCACACAUGUCCACCUGGCGUCCCGGAAAACCCUAAACGAGCCAUCUGAGACCGACACGUGUCAGUUCCUCUUCCUUCGCGCUCUCACCACUAAAUUUCCCGUUUCCUUGCCUAAAAUUAAGUCCGGUCACCCACCUCUCUCUCUCUCUCUCCCUCCCUCCC
rnacentral:lncRNA from 1 species